rnacentral:lncRNA from 1 species
UCGUAGCCAACAAAUGUUUGCAUCAAUGAAAAGAUACAUCCAUUGUAAGCAAUCCAACAAGUUGUUAAAUCGGAUCAAAAUUCAAGUUUUCCAAUAGUAGUAUGCUAGUACGACAAACUUUAGUAAUGUUUUCCAAUGUGUUGCAAUAAAGCAUACGAUAAUAAUAACAAAUCAACAAGCCACCAAAAUUCAGGGUUUCUCCCAUCUAUCUCAUAAUCUCAUUAACGUAGUAUAUGUACUUGCAUCCAUAUGUACACAACAGAAUUUGUCAGGAUAAUGCAAUCAUCAGUCAUUCUCCAGCAAUAUCUCUAUGAUGCAGGCAUUUCAAGCAAGUUACUUUAAGUAACUGAUAAUCAAAAUUCAUUUCACAAUCCACAUAUAACUGACCUAAUCCCAACAUCCUGUGAACCAAAACUACAAGGAACGACCUUUUCUUUCUGCACAUGAUCAGCACCAACUCCUUCAUUCAGUACACCCAGCUCCUUCUUUUCCGGAGUUCCGAAUCUCAAUAACCAAACCAGUCAACAUCGUCUUCAAAAGUUCCCAGUUUUUCUCCACCAACACCAUUUGCCCCAUCCACAACCAACUUGUCAUCCACAUCACUGGGAUGAGUUCCACUAGUAAUCAAAUCUACCAAGCACCUAACCAGCCACACAAAACACUUAAUGAAGGCAUUCAAACAACAAUGAAUUUUUUUAAAGAUCAAACUAACUCAUUACACAAAACUCUAGCUCCAACUAACCUAAAUGAGCUUGAAAGCUGCUUGAAGUAAUCGUUGUCUGAUACUUUCAAACCCUUAUUUCUAGCACGAACCAUCCAGUGUAGUUGUGGAGUAGUUAAAAUUCCCAAGUCAUGGGCAACCGCUCCAAUAAUUGAACUGAUUCCCUUUAAAGGAACAAAUGCUAAGAAAUGAGGAGCGUAAAACGAUUUAGAAACUGCAUGGUAAGCAAUGGUAAAAGAGAAGAUACCUGUUUAGCAGCCUCAACCAGAGAUUCUCCACUGGAUCUUGUAUCUCUUGCCAACAAUAUCUCCACGGAUUUUGCUCCAUCGACUGCGAUUUUUUCAUUUUCAACAAAUUCAGCUAUCAACUGUUCAAGAGUUCAAUCAGCCUUGUACACAAAUUCACAAGAAGAAAAGAAAGGAGUGAGCACGCGCACACACACAGAAAGGCUAUAUAGAAAAAGAAAAACAGACAUGAACAAGCUGUUGGGGAUCACGAGCAUUGGUGAGGGUAUCAGCGAAUGGCUCCCAGUCUUGAGAAAGCAUUCCACCACUCGGGUCAGCAACUUUGACUCCAUUAUCAGAGACUUUGUUGUGAGAUGCUGUGAUCAUCAGGCCGAUCACUGAUUGGAUCUUGAGGGCCCUUGGAGCAGCCAAAAUUCCCACCCUGUAAAGUGUGGAUUGGAGGAUUGAGGCAUCAGCUCUGAAGCCAGCCGUUCCAUACGAUAGUUUCACACCUGGUGUCAACUUCUCAAAAUUAACAAACCAGAAACCGAAUUCCGUUGAGAGGAAAGGGAAAAUGCGAGAGGGAGAGAAAUGUGGACCUUGUGGAGGCGGGAAGCGAGAUGAGGAGCUGAGGAGGAGUGAACGUUGGUCUUUAUUCAUGGUUUGUUAAUCCCGAUUGAAACUAACAUCAAAGAGUUUGAGUUUCAGGCAUAUAACUAGCAAUAGUGCCCGCGCGUUUGCUGCGGGUCUUAAAACUACUGGACAUAAAAGAAGAAAACAGCCAGUGCAAACUUGUAAUGGAUAGUUUGUAAUUAAUAGGUUUUUAGUAUGUUCAUGCUAUUUAAACACAGAAAAUAUAAUAAGAAAAAGAAGUUGAGUGUUGGCAAAAAGUGAUGUAAUUUGUGGCAUACCUGUAGUUAGACCUGUGUAAUCGAUUUAGUUGUGAACACUGGUAACAUGUAUAACUCAGAGAACAAAAAAUAGCAGAAACUGAAUAAGAAAAUGAUGUGCAUAGAGAAUAUACUGCAGUAACUAUAAAUUAAGGUUAGAAGUGUUUUAAUUUUGAUAUAAAUUUGUGGUCAAGAAUUAUGCAUAAGAGGAUAACUGCUUUUAUGAGUGAGCAUAUAAUAAGUCAAAACGAUUAUUAAUAAUUAACGAAAUGUUUGAAGUAAAAAAAAAUAUACAUUUGAUGUUGAAAUUCGAUAUCAUAAUGUAACUGUAACUUAUUAGAAGGGUUUAAAUUGGCAUUAACUGGUCUGUAACAGUUUGUCCAAUUAUAUUGAAUAUCAUUAGACCAUGUUGUGAUACGAUGUUACUGGAAAACGAAGAAAAAAUUAUAUAAGCUAUUAGAAACAAUAUACAAUUGUAAAUGUAAAGUUGUGUAAUUUGAUUCUUAAUAAGCAUGCAUAUAUACCGUUUGGAUAUGAAGAAUUAAAAAGCAUAUAGAGCUGUGCACUUAGUUGAGGUAAGAGUUUAGAUGAUGGGAAUCCAUGCUGAUAAUUUGUUGAGGAAAACAAAACUUUAGUUUGAUGUUCAAGCAGAUGGGAACAGACAGAAAGAACAAAAGGUAAAAUACAUAAUAAAAAGAAGAUGAUGUCCAAAGAUUGGAAAAGCAGGUUAAGAAGUAAAUUUAUGUUUAUACCGACUAAAAUGAUUGUCAAAUUUGCAGCAAGCUAUCUUUGAAUGAAUAAAAAAUAGGGUAAAAAUUGUAGGCAAAUUUGAUCAGGUGAACUGGAGAAAAUUGAAAACCAGGAUUAAAAAUGCAUCACAAAUGAGAAUAUGGUGUAAAAUGAUAUGUAAGCCAGUUUUGUACUGAUUCUAAUGUAAAUAUGGGAAAACAGAUGUUCAAAGAUGGAUCCGAUAGAGCUGAUUAGGUGUCUCUGUGUAACACAGAGAUACUAUUUGCUCAGUUAUUUCAGCUUUGAUCAUUUGGAUAAAUAAUCAUCACUUCCAUAUUUUCCCUUCGGUGGGAUGAUCUUUUUGUUUUACAAUGUUAUCUAGGAAGAAACUCAUUGGAUCAUGCAAUAACAAAUAGAAAAACUAUUUAAAAGAAUACAAACAACAACAACAAAGCUUUUUUCCCACAAAGUGGGGUCGGCUAUAUGAAUCCUAGAACGCCAUUGCGCUUGGUUUUGUGUCAUGUCCUCCGUUAGAUCCAAGUACUCUAAGUCUUUUCUUAGGGUCUCUUCCAAAGUUUUCCUAGGUCUUCCUCUACCCCUUCGGCCCUGAACCUCUAUCCCGUAGUCACAUCUUCGAACCGGAGCGUCAGUAGGCCUUCUUUGCACAUGUCCAAACCCAUUUUGUGUACGUGUUGAUGCUUCACCGCCCAACCUUCUGUGCCAUACAGCAUCGCCGGCCUUAUUGCCGUCCUAUAAAAUUUUCCCUUGAGCUUUAGUGGCCUACUACGGUCACACAACACGCCGGAUGCACUCUUCCACUUCAUCUAUCCAGCUUGUAUUCUAUGGUUGAGAUCUCCAUCUAAUUCUCCGUUCUUUUGCAAGAUAGAUCCUAAGUAGCGAAAAUGGUCGCUCUUUGGUAUUUCCUGAUCUCCGAUCCUCACCCCUAAUUCAUUUUGGCCUCCAUUUGCACUGAACUUGCACUCCAUAUAUUCUGUCUUUGAUCGGCUUAGGCGAAGACCUUUAGAUUCCAACAUUUCUCUCCAAAGGUUAAGCUUCGCAUUUACCCCUCCUGAGUUUCAUCUAUCAACACUAUAUCGUUUGCGAAAAGCAUACACCAAGGAAUAUCAUCUUGAAUAUGUCCUGUUAACUCAUCCAUUACCAACGCAAAAAGGUAAGGACUUAAGGAUUGUUGAUGCACAAAAUCAGUGAGGACUUUGGUACAACAGAAAGUAUUAAGUUUGUGAUCUUUGCUAGAUUGCUCUGGUCAUUAGUGUGGAUAAGUAUGUAAAUGGAUAGAGACAUGAAAGCAAACACAAGAUGUACAUGGUUCACCCAGAUUGGCUACAUCCACGGAGUAGAGGAGUUCUCAUUAAUUGUGAAGGGUUUACACAAGUAUAUAGGUUCAAGCUCUCAUUUAGUGAGUACAAGUGAAUGAUUUAGUACAAAUGACAUAGGUUCAAGCUCUCGUCUUCACUUGCCUUAUCUGUCUCAUAGGUAGAUGUGGCAUCUUCUCUGGAAGUACUCUUCCUCCAUCCAAGGGUGGUAUCUUUAACUGGUGGAGAUGCACAAGGUAAUGUAUCAAUUUCACAUGAAGCUUACUUGUAGUUUCAGGCUUGGUCAAGCGCGAUACAAACCAUGUAGUAGGAGUCCCCCAAGUCGCUGAGCUAGGGGAUCUGCUGAAAGAGGCGACAGACAAGGUAAGCAAUCAGAGCUCCAAGAAAUCAGUCCCAGAUCAGAAGUUUGAUUUCGAGUUUCGGCUGAUUGUUCUCAUUCUCCUUAUCUUGCAGGCAGCAUGAAGGAUAAAGAGAAGAAAGAUGAUAUGAGAUACUUUUGCUUUUGAAGAAGUAACUUUCCACAGGCUUAUUCUUGAACUGGGCUGGAGGAUUUUCUGGUUUCCUCCAGAGUAUAAGGCCGACUGAAGAAUUUGAGGGUUAAAACAAGUCCAUCAAAUCUAGAGUACGUUUGACUCUGCUGAUAUGGGAUACUUUUGCUGUUGACAAAGUAGUGGAUGUAUCGGCACGUGUUCUGUUACGCUUGUCUCCACAUGUUUUCUUGUAUCCUUCUCAUUUUCCCUAUCUGUUCCUUAGGCAGAUGUUGUAUCUUCUCUGGAAGCAUAAGAUGUUGAAGAUGAGUACUCGAGAGCAAUGCCAGGUAAGUAAUCAGGUAAGGGGUUCCAGGCAGUCAGUUCCUGACUAGAAGCUUGAUUUCAAGUGCUGACUGAUUACUCUCUUUCUCCUUGUCUUGCAGGUAAGAACAAGGCCAAAGGAAAAGACAGGGAAAAAGCAUGAUAUGGGAUACUUUUGCAUUUAACCCUGAUGAUAUGAGAUAUUCUUGCUCUGGUGUAGCUUGUUUGCAGAGAGAUUAUCGGGGGGAAAGAAAGCUGAGUAUUUCGAGAGGCUUCGUUGGGAGUGCCCUCUCAGAUAUGAGGAAGGGUUGAGCAUUUUUGCAGGUCUGCCUGUCCGUUGAGGAUGGAGGUCGACAUAUAUAGGAGUUUCCCUAUCAACAAGUAGUAAUGCUAUUCCUUUACCCUGCUUGGUCAUAGCACGGUAGUGGGAGCUGCCAGCUUCACAUGUGUCAGAGCACUUUGAAAAAGUGGUCUGUGGUAUCUGGAAAGCUGAUGUUGCGUGUGAAGAUUACAGACAAACUUUAUCCAAGGAGAUCUGACUCUCGAAGUUGAGAAAGCGGUGCCUCUUUGGUUUUCGAACAAGCAAUCCUGUCGGGGAUUUGGCUCUCGAGAUUCGGAGAACGGUGCCUCUUCAAUUUUUUAGAGAGCAAUCAUGCUGGGAGUCUGGCUCUCGAGAUUCGGAUAGCCAUGUCUCUUCGAUUUUUGAGAAAGUAAUCAUGUUAGGAGUCUGGCUCUUGAGAUUCGGAGGACGGUGCCUCUUCGAUUUUGGAGUAAGCAAUCUUGUUGGGAGUGUUUUCUCGAAUGUGAGUAAAGGUUGGGCAUGUUUGCUAGUCUACCUUGCCACGGAGCAUAGAGGUUGACACAUAGGGACUUUCCAAUUAUCCAGCAGUGGUGCUGUUUCUUUACCCUUGUGGGUAAUAAUAUGGUAGCUAGACCUUCAAAAUUUAUGUGUCUAAACUUUGUUAGUGCUGUUUCUUUGCUAUUCUUUUACCCUUCUUGGUCAUAGCGAUGUAGUGGGAGCUGCAAGCUUCACGUGUCUAAACUUUGUCAGAGAUCUUUGGCAAAGUUAUCUGUGGUACCCAUGAGCUGAUGGUGCGUGUGGAAAGUGGAUGAUUGAACAGUAAGAUUCACGUGCUUUCUACUUCACCAGAAAUCUUCAAUAGAAUGCCCGUAAUUUCAGCAAAGCUGAGUGUGCAUGUGACAGGUGCUGACAAGGCUGAGAAAAGCAGGUGCCUCUUCGAUUUCUAAGAUCGGCCCUCGUGGUCUCUGAGCAGCCUAGCUUUUGAGAAAGCAAACACCUCUUCGAUUUCUGAGAUCGGCCUUCAUGGUCUUUGAGCAGCCUAGCUUUUGAGAAAGCAAACACCUAUUCGAUUUUUGAGAUCGGCCCUCAUGGUCUUUGAGCAGCCCAGCUUUUGAGAAAGCAAACGCCUCUUCGAUUUCUGGGCAGGUGCCUCUUCGAUUUCUGAAGCUCCGUCGAGUGCAGAUUUUUAUAGAGGUUGGCAUUAAGUUCCAAAGCACACUUGAAUCUUCACCGGUAGAAGCUUCCUUCUUGCACUUCUAAGAUCUUGAUUUGUCCGACCUUUUCUCUCUUCAACACCUUUGAAAAUGUCUGGCCCCUCCGACCGUCGUUUUGACUUGAACCUUGUUGAAAAGGCAGCCAUGCCUUCUUCAGACAACAUAUGGCACCCAUCCUUCUUAUCCCCUACUGGUCCUCUUACCGUUGGGGAUUCCGUGAUGAAGAAUGAUAUGACUGCUGCGGUGGUGGCCAGGAACCUUCUCACUCCCAAAGAUAACAGACUACUUUCCAAACGGUCUAAUGAGUUGGCUGUUAAGGAUUCUCUGGCUCUAAGUGUUCUGUGUGCAGGUUCUGUGUCUAAUAUGGCCCAACGCCUAUUUGCUCGAACCCGCCAAGUUGAAUCAUUGGCGGCUGAAGUGAUGAGUCUCAAACAGGAGAUUAGAGGGCUCAAGCAUGAGAAUAAACAGUUGCACCGGCUCGCACAUGACUAUGCUACAAACAUGAAGAGAAAGCUUGACCAGAUGAAGGAAUCUGAUGGUCAGGUUUUACUUGAUCAUCAGCGGUUUGUGGGUUUGUUCCAAAGGCAUUUAUUGCCUUCGUCUUCUGGGGCUGUACCGCGUAAUGAAGCUCCAAAUGAUCAACCUCUGAUGCCUCCUCCUUCUAGGGUUCUGUCCAGUACUGAGGCUCCGAAUGAUCCCCCUCCGGUGCCUUCUCUUUCUGGGGCUCUACCGACUACUGAGACUUCUCCUAAGCAACCUUUGUGAAGGCUCCCUCUUGUUUGUUUAUUUUGACUCAUGUAUAUGUACAUAUUUGUACCUUAUCGGAGAUAUCAAUAAAUAAGCUUUGCUUCAUUUCAACGUAUUGUGUUAAAUACACCAAAGCCUUCUUCAUUGAGUGGGGUCGGCUAUAUGAAUCUUAGAACGCCAUUGUGCUCGGUCCUGUGUCAUGUCCUCCGUUAGAUCCAAAUACUCUAAGUCUUUUCUUAGAGUCUCUUCCAAAGUUUUCCUAGGUCUUCCUCUACCCCUUCGGCCCUGAACCUCUGUCCCGUAGUCGCAUCUUCUAACCGGAGCGUCAGUAGGCCUUCUUUGCACAUGUCAAAACCAUCGUAACCGAUUUUCUCUCAAUUUUCCUACAAUUUCGGCUACUCCUACUUUACCUCGGAUAUCCUCAUUCCUAAUCUUAUCCUUUCUCGUGUGCCCACACAUCCAACGAAGCAUCCUCAUCUCCGCUACACCCGUUUUGUGUACGUGUUAAUGCUUCACCGCCCAACAUUCUGUGCCAUACAGCAUCGCCGGCCUUAUUGCCGUCCUAUAAAAUUUUCCCUUGAGCUUCAGUGGCAUACGACGGUCACACAACAUGCCGGAUGCAUUCUUCCACUUCAUCCAUCCAGCUUGUAUUCUAUGGUUGAGAUCUCCAUCUAAUUCUCUGUUCUUUUGCAAGAUAGAUCCUAAGUAGCGAAAACGAUCGCUCUUUGGUAUUUCCUGAUCUCCGUCCUCACCCCUAACUCAUUUUGGCCUCCAUUUGCACUGAACUUGCACUUCAUAUAUUCUGUCUUUGAUCGGCUUAGGCGAAGAUCUUUAGAUUCCAACAUUUCUCUCCAAAGGUUAAGCUUCGCAUUUACCCCUUCCUGAGUUUCAUCUAUCAACACUAUAUCGUUUGCGAAAAGCAUACACCAAGGAAUAUCAUCUUGAAUAUGUCAUGUUAACUCAUUCAUUACCAACGCAAAAAGGUAAGGACUUAAGGAUGAGCCUUGAUGUAAUCCUACAGUUAUGGGGAAGCUUUCGGUUUGUCCUUCAUGAGUUCUUACGGCAGUCUUUGCUCCUUCAUACAUAUCCUUUAUAGCUUGGAUAUAUGCUACUUGUACUCCUUUCUUCUCUAAAAUCCUCCAAAGAAUGUCUCUUGGGACCCUAUCAUACGCUUUUUCAAAUCUAUAAAGACCAUGUGUAAAUCCUUUUUCCCAUCUCUAUAUCUUUCCAUCAAUCUUCGUGAGAGAUAGAUUGCCUCCAUGGUUGAGCGCCCUGGCAUGAACCCGAAUUGGUUGUCCGAAACCCGUGUCUCUUGCCUCAAUCUAUGCUCAAUGACUCUCUCCCAGAGCUUCAUUGUAUGACUCAUUAGCUUAAUACCCCUAUAGUUCAUGCAAUUUUAUACGUCGCCCUUAUUCUUGUAGAUAGGCACCAAAGUGCUCUUUCGCCACUCAUUUGGCAUCUUCUUCGUUUUCAAAAUCCUAUUGAAAAGGUCAAUGAGCCAUGCUAUACCUGUCUCUCCCAAGACUUUCCACACUUCGAUCGGUAUAUCGUCUGGGCCCACUGCUUUUCUAUGUUUCAUCUUCUUCAAAGCUACAACCACUUCUUCCUUCCUGAUUCGACGAUAAAAUGAGUAGUUUCUACACUCUUCUGAGUUACUCAACUCCCCUAAAGAAGUACUCAUUUCAUGUCCUUCAUUGAAAAGAUUAUGAAAAUAACCUUUCUAUCUGUCUUUAGCCGCAUUCUCUGUAGCAAGAACCUUUCCAUCCUCAUCCUUGAUGCACCUCACUUGGUUUAGGUCCCUUAUCUUCUUUUCCCUUGCUCUAGCUAGUUUAUAGAUAUCCAACUCUCCUUCUUUGGUAUCUAGUCUCUUAUACAUGUCGUUAUAAGCCGCAAACUUAGCUUCUCUCACAGCUUUCUUCGCCUCUUGCUUCGCUCUUCUAUACAUUUCACCAUUUUCAUCGGUCCUGUCCUUGUAUAAGGCUUUACAACAUUCCUUCUUAGCCUUCACCUUUGUUUGUACCUCCUCAUUCCACCACCAAGAUUCCUUUUGGUGUGGAGCAGAGCCCUUGGACUCUCCUAAUACCUCUUUUGCUACUUUUCGGAUACAACUAGCCAUGGAAUCCCACCUUUGGCUAGCUUCCCCCUCUCUAUCCCACACACACUGGGUGAUUACUUUCUCUUUGAAAAUGUCUUGUUUUUCUCCUUUUAGAUUCCACCAUCUAGUCCUUAGGCACUUCUAAGUGUUGUUCUUUUUUCUCACUCUUUUGAUAUGUACAUCCAUCACUAACAAGCGAUGUUGAUUAGCCAAGCUCUCUCCCAGUAUAACUUUGCAAUCCUUACAAGUUAUACGAUCCCCUUUCCUCAUUAGAAGAAAAUCUAUUUGUGUUUUUGACGACCCACUCUUGUAGGUGAUCACAUGUUCUUCUCUCUUCUUAAAGAAGGUGUUGGCUAAGAAGAGAUCAUAUGCCAUUGCAAAAUCCAAGAUAGCUUCCCCAUCCUCGUUUCUCUCCCCAAAACCAUGGCCACCAUGAAAACCUCCAUAGUUGCAUGUCUCCCUGCCCACGUGUCCAUUUAAAUCUCCUCCUAUAAAUAACUUCUCCGUCUGGGCAAUUCCUUGCACCAAGUCUCCAAGGCCUUCCCAAAAUUUCUCCUUCGAACUCGUAUCCAACCCUACUUGAGGUGCGUACACACUAAUCACAUUGAUGAGUUCUUGUCCUAUUACAAUCUUGAUUGCCAUGAUUCUAUCUCCUACCCUCUUGACAUCUACAACAUCUUGUGUCAAGGUCUUGUCCACGAUGAUGCCAACACCGUUUCUCGUUCUAUUUGUGCCCGAAUACCAAAGUUUAAACCCUGAGUUUUCUAGAUCCUUUACCUUAAGACCAACCCACUUAGUUUCUUGUAGGCACAUAAUAUUUAUCCUUCUCCUCACCAUAACUUCCACUACUUCCAUAGAUUUUCCCGUUAAGGUUCUUAUAUUCCACGUUCCUAAACGCAUUCUACUCUCUUGAACUUUACCCUUCUGUCCUAGCUUCUUCACCCUCCCCCGUCCAAUAGGAUCAAAGUACUUCUUUUGUGUGUCCUGUGUAAAGUUGAUAGGAGCAUAUGCUCCCAAACAACUUUUAGUGGAGUCGUUCGAAAAGAAGUUUCUAUGGCCCCCUUGCUCAUUUAACACUGAAUCCGGGUGCCGAUGGAGAUACAGCGACCCUUGCUCACUUAUCACUGUGCUCGGGCCACACAGCGCGCCACUUACGGGUGACGCCCUAGCUUUAGCGCGAUUUGGUUUUGGAUUCAUUUUCAUAAGGAUUCGACGUAACUGAUGAGUGCCGGCUGUCGACUACCUGACGUCCUCCCCCUCCUCCUUUACCCGGGCUUGGGACCGGCAAUGUAAGAUAAACUUACACAGGCGGAGUUAAAAACUAUUUAAAAGAAUAACAAAGAUAAUUUUUGUAGUACAUGGAAAAUAUAAACUUGUUUGAAUAAAAAGCCUAAGAUGAAAGGGUCAUAUUACGUACUUGAAGUACAAAUGGUUUUAAAGGCUGUACAUUGAAGCUGCAAAAAACAAAGAGCAUCACAUGCUGAAAACAAAAAGAAAACCAAAUUGUAAGCGUAGACAGAGCAGGCAAAACAUAAAAGAAACCAAAAUUUGAAAAAUUGUUCCAUCCGGACACCAAAUGUUUCAAAAGGUUAUCAAAACGGAACAAAAUUGGUUAAUUUGUUAUGUAAGCAAAGCAAAGAAAGGAGUUGGAUUGAAGUUGAUUUAAGGCUUUUUCUGACUUGGCCAACCUAUGUGGCUAGGGCUUCAAACACUAAAACCCCGUACAAUGCACAUAAAAGUAACCACUGCCGGGUAAGCAAACAUGAGUUACUUUCAUCAAAAAUUAAAACUAAAAACAUAAACUUCAAACAGGCAAAAUCUGACAACCAGCAUAUCAAUCCAAAAUAAAAACUUCCACCACCAACAGCAUAAACAAAUUUAAAACCACAAUUAAAACUAAUGUUGACUGUCCUCCUCUCCAUGUUUGUGUUCCCUCUAUAGGAUAAAAGCGACGAAGACAAAGCUUUCCAAAAUUCUAAUAACUCUACAUAUUAUCAAUUUCCCAACAAAACACAUAGGUUCUAGCACUAACAGCAUAAAAAGUUUUAAAAUUCUUCCUCUCCCUGUUCUUAAGACAGAAAGACAAAGCUUUCCAAAAUUCCAACAAAUCCUCUCAUUUCUUCCCAAAAAUUAUAAAUCCAUUUUCAUCCUACAAUUAUUAAUGCAUUUCGAAACUGUAAAAAAGCAGGACAUAAAACUUACCCAGAAUAUAAGAGCAGCGUCACAGGUGCUAGCAAAUGUCAGAUUUAUUAACAGAGCAACCAAAAUGCAAAAUGCUCUUUUAGCCGGGAAAGGCCUAACAGAGCACCACAACUGAAAGAACAAUGAAAUCGUUAGGUUUUUUUUUUUUCCAAAUAAGCAAAAAUCCAAAAUAAAAAUUGAAAGACAACCAUUAUAAAAUACACCUUAGCUGAAUAACAUCUGUUCCGCAGCGAUCUGAUGACGGGCCGCGACCAAAACAGGUUGGAAAUUGGCCAAAGUUCAGCCACAACCCAAAAAUCUCAGGCAGAAAAAAAAAGAAUAACACUCUGAAUUAUUGCCCGAUCGCAACUUUGGAAACCUUGGAAACCACUUUUUUGUGGGGAAGAAGACUCUCGAAGUCAAGAGAAUAAGGAUGGCGGACACGCAGACAACACGGGUAAAAACGUCAUUUCAACGUACGAAGCAGGCCAGACAAAGGAAAACAAAUGAUUGACCUAGGGGCAGUUCCGCCUUUCACUAUUUAUGAACAGUGCCGGUUUCAACUAAGUUUUAGUAUAUAUAAUGUAUACAUUCACAUACAGUUAAAUAUACAUACAUACAUACAUACAUAUAGAUAUAUAUAAAAUCUCGUUACUGAAACCUGCAACCAUUCUUUCUAAUAAAAUAAUCAACAGAUGAAAUUUUGUUCUUUCUAAUAAAAUAAUCAACAGAUGAAAUUUUGUCCAAUCAACCAAAAUUUACCCAAAGAUAAUAACUAUCCAGAUAGAACAAAACCCAAUUAAUUAAUUUUCACAAAUUACUGAAUCCAUAUCAGUUUACAAGAAUGAUUUCAGGCAAUACUAAGGGCUGGUUUGGUAUUGCUGUACUUUGAAAAAAAAACUGCUGUGAGAAUAAGCGGUUGUGCUGUGAGAAUAAGCGACUGUGAAAUAAAUCAGCGGAGUGUUUGGUAAACUUUUUUGUAAAACUGCUUUUGGAAAAAAAAAACAAUCUGAUAGUGGGUAUUUUCAUUAAAGGAGCACUGUAACUCCGUGUACUUUGAAAAAAAAAACCAGUUUUCCAAAGCUGCAAAUAGUAGCUUCAACUUUUUCCUUUGAUUUCAGCUUAUUCUCACAGCAACUUCCAAAAUAAGCCUUUUUUUUUAGUUUACCAAACACCUAAAACCCUCACAGUUUUUUUUUAUGGAUGUUUUUUUUUUUUUUUUUUUUAAGCAUCUCACUCCCAAACCACCAUUAAUAUGCAGAGAGAUGCACAAAAUCGGAUUGCAAUCAAACACUUACCGCACCUGCAGUAUCAAUGAACUCCCUCAUUUUGCUCCAGUUGAGACUUGAGACUUCUCAGAGCGUUUAAAUAGCCAAUGGCAUUUCCGUAAUUUCGUGGAUUUUCAAGCCCAAUAAUAUUCCCUUUGUUCUUAAAAAUCCUACCUGCGCGGAGUGUGGAUGGAUAUGCCGCCAAUGUUCCCAAGCAAAGCAUCAAAAACUCCAAGCAGCGACAAAGUCCAAGGGGGAGCGAUGGGUCUGCUCUCGUGGUGGAAAGGGAAUGAGUCUACACCCCUAACCAAGACCAGCCCGGAUCCGAAACCGGCCGAACCUGCUCCCGGCAUGAACGGCGCCGUUGAGGUGCCUCGACCCCCCGCCGCCGCCAACAUCACCGUCUUCGAGUUCGGAUCAGUCGCGGCUUCAGCCGAUAAGGUCACUCUCGCCGGGUACUGUCCGGUCUCCGAAGACCUGGAGCCCUGCCGCUGGGAGAUCCUCCCCGCUAGUGGCUCCGACGCGCCCCAGUUUCGAGUGGUCUUCUAAGCACUCACCCCUGUGUCUGUGUGUGUGUGAGCAGUUAAUCAUUGUAUGUUCAGACUCAGUAGUGUAAUUUCCAGCUAUGAAUGAUAUGAUGAGAAUUUCAGUUGAGGUUUUGUCGUAGACAAUUUCAAGUUUUUGGCUUUGGAUUGUGUUCAUGGAUGGACAAUUUAGAGGGGGUGGUAUUCAAUUAGGAUUUUUAGAGAGUUUCAGGGAAUUUAAAUCUAUAGAAUUUGAGAGAGUUUGAGAGAAAAAAAAAAGGAAUUCUCAGAGAUUUUGAGUGAAUUUUACAUGAUUUAUGAGAUAAUUCUUUACAUGGGGUUAGAGAAUUGCAGAGAAUUUGAUCAACAAUUUUCUUCUCUUUACGAGCUAAAAUUUUCAUCCUACUAACACCGAAGGUGACGAAAGCUAUUAAUUAAUACAAAAGCUAAGAAUAAGAAGUAAAUAAGGGUUGUGAAUUUAAAUACAAUCAGUUAAAAAUUUAGAAACGUGUUCAGAGCAUACAACUAACUAAAACUUUAAAAGAAUUAAUAAAAAUUAAAUAAAUAAGAGGAUGCAGGUCCUAAAUCGAGAGGACUCAAAUAUGCCAAUGCGAAAGCGUUGACGUAGGGAUCGUAUGUCUCGAUUCUAAAUCCUGAAAGAAGGCGCAAAACAAGGGUGAGUGGACCAAGUUUAUAUACAUACAUAAUAUAAAAACAGGUAUAAACAUAUUAACCCCCAAAGUUUUAAUAAUAAAAAACUACUAGCAUAAUAAAUGAUAGGUUUCUCUGAAAACCCUAGCAUGCUAUCAACAUCUCAAAAGACACAUCGCGGAAAUCAAAGCAUCAAUAGUCUCACAGAUUGUCUCGUAAGCAAGGUGUGCUGCCAUUAAGAUCACUGAAUAAUAAUACUCCCGGCCCAAUGCCUGCACCUAAGUCUCUGUGCCAGUGAUAACUUCCUCCCGGCCCAAUGUCUGUCUCCAUGUCCCUCAACCUUUUGCUAGGGAUUAUUUCUCACAGCUUAACUGCCAACACCAAAUCCUCACCCCAGGCGGCAUAGUGUCCACUAGGUACGCACAAAUAGUUACGCCUCUCAUAAAUAACCACUUCAUAGUAUAAAAUCAUCCAUCGUCUAUACUAUAAAGAGGGGUUUCUAAAACAUGUUCUAGCAUCAUAUCGUCAUCCAUCAGAUAGUUUACCAGUUCAUGGUUUUAUAGAAAAUACGAUAUAUCAAACUAUAGCUCAAUAUAGGCCAACAAUUAAUUCUUCACUAAAAACAUGAGACGAAAAUCAACAAAUUCAAUAAACAUGCUUAACAUAAAAUCAAAUUAUAAACUCGUAAGACAUGCUAUUCAUUUAUGCAGUUGAACUAUAAAAUCAUGUAGUUUUAGAAGAGGUCUACUCACAGAUACUCUUUAGCAGUAGAGUUGUGCGGAUAAGGAUUAAGAAUUUCCUCACUAGCAACUUCACAUAAGCACAAAAAGGUAAUAAAUAAAUAAAAGGGUUUUCUAAAGGAUUUGGGUUGGAUGGUUAGAGCCUAAUGGGUUUAGGGUAAGGGUUUUGGGCUUAGAGUCACAACAUAAAUGGCCCAAGGGCCUCAUUUUAAAAAAAUUGUAACAAAAAUAAUUAAAAUAAAAAUUGGAAAGGGAAAGGGUUUGGGCUUGGAUCCGGAUUAGAGCUUAGGUCUUAAAGCCCAAAGGUUUAGGGUUUUGCUCCACAGGCCGAAGGCCCUAGUUUUCCCAAGGCCCGAAGGCCUGUUCUGAAAGGGUUUAGGAUUUCAGGGUUCUCUGGGCUCAGCCCAGACCCACACGGCCCUAAGGCUUGAUUUUGAGAAGGUUUUGGGGUUAAGCAAAAUGGGCUUAAGGCCCGUGGCCUUUUGAGAACGGCCUAAAGGCCUGGUGCUCACCAGAGAAGGACACCGGAGCUUCUACAGCUCCGACCGACAGCAAACACAUGACUUAGGCUCCUAAUUAGGAACCAAAACGUAGAGGAAGGUAAGAUGAGUAUUUCUAUACCUUGGGUUUGCCGUGAAAAGGCCGGAGGUGACCAGAAAUCCCCUUGACAGCCACGGGUUCAUCGGAGAUGGGUUUGGCACACUCAAGCCGAUUUCCUUUAAAAACCUUGUAAAAUGACGAGUUAAAGCUUAAUAUAUCUCAACCACGCAACAACCAAGACAAAUUUAAGGUAAUACAAAGCUUACCUAAUCAGAAAAUCAAGGGAACUCGCCAGAGAGUUCCUGGGUUCCACAGUCCCAGCUGCGCCUAGAGAGAAAGGGAGAGAAAGGCGAGGUUGAUGGUAAUGAUGCCUUCUUCGCAAGUGAUGCAGCUGUGAGUGUGUGUUCAUGGGAAAGAAAAGGAGAGAGACGAAAGGGUUUAGAGAGAGAGAGAGAUAGAAGUACAGAGAAAGAGAGAGAAGGAAAGAGGGGUCACGGGGUGGGGGACCGAAGAGAGAAAAUGGAGGUUAGUUAGGGUGCUGCCACAUGGCAGUUUAAGGGAGUUUGAGAAUCAAGAUAGAGGGUCCAGAUUUGGUUAAGAAAAGGGACUAAAAUGAUAAAUUAAAUAAAACUUUGGAAAAUUAUAAAAUUACAUAUAAAUUCGCGGGUGGGGUUUAACAGUUUUCAACUAGCUAUAAGAGUUAAUAAUAGCUAAGAAUAUGUUUAUGAAACGAGUUUAAUCAAGACAUGGUUAAGAUAAGUACUAAUUACUAACCUUAAAAUAAGGGUAAAAUCUUGUACUUUCUUUUAUUUUAGUUGGCACCAUGGAUCUAGGUUGGACCAUCAAAUCUGGUGCAAUUGUGUUCAAGGCCUUCAAAACGUUGUUGAAAUUUUUGCUUGUUGUAAAAUGUGACCACCGAAAUGUGUCCAGAGUUUGGCAAUAUCGAGAAUUUUGACCAAUAAUGAGUAGAAAUGUAGCAACCAUUUCUUCAAUACAAAUAAAUCUUGUACCCUUCAAAUGCGUCUUUUCCGUAAAGACGUCACAUAGCUUUAAGAAAACAUUCGGAUACAUCCUAUAUAGCACUUGAAAUUCUUGAGGAUCCUUAUUCAAUACCUUGUUAAUAUAAUCAUAUCCAAUUCUACUAAUAGGUCGUCGAGCCAAUGGACGUUCAAUAUGAUCAUCAUGUAUAAUAACCAUUAACGCAUUUAGCACUUGAACUAUUGCUUGUACUGCCAUCAAUAGUAACUUAAUGGCUUCAUGAUAUUCUUCAUCUUCCCUUUCCAUUUCCUCUUCAGACAUGUUUUCAAACAUUAUAUAAAGAAUCACCUAAAAAAGCAAAACUAUAUCCAUUAGAACAUAAGACCAACUCCAAUGGUUGGGCUAAAAGCCAAAUUUUUUAGCCCAUAAAAAACAUUUCUAGCUCCAACCAUUUGGAUUAAAAUUUAGCGGGAACUUUAAUGAAAAAGCUUAAACUAAGUUUAUUUUAACAAAAAACUAUGCUAUAAACUUUAUUUAAUGAAAAAGAAUUAAAUUUUAAUAAAAAGGACAAAAAAAUUUAAUUUUUAAUGAAAAGAACACAAUUUAUAAUAAUAAUAAAUAAAAAAACAGGACGCGAGUAGUACCUCUACACUGUUUAUGAAACUGAGCACUAUUUAUGAAACUGCACUAUUUAUGAAACUUACUACACUAUUUAUGAAACUUACUACACUAUUUAUGAAAACUUACAACAUUGUUUAUGAAACUUACUACAUUGUUUAUGAAACUUAACUUAUUACACUGUUUAAGAGGCACCGUCGUCGCAUCCAUCUGGGUUUUUUUCUUCUCAACUUGUACUCUACUUGGAUCAACAUGGUUAGUAUCGAUCUCCAGGUAAAAAUAUGAGCCGGUUUGAGGUCCAUAUGAGAUAGGCAUAGCUAAUCCAAAUAGUAAAAAUUCAGUUUGAUAACUCCACUCUUUCAACAGGUAAAAAUAUGAAGUGCAGAUGUAUGGGUAUAGAAGUUUACUUGCUUUUAAAGAAUUUAAACUCUGCAAGCAGAAAGUGUAGCAAGCAGCAAAAUAUAACAUCUAGGAAUGAUGACGAGAGAAAGAGAAAAAUUGGACUACUAGGAUAAAACAACAAAAGAACAGAUAAGAACAUAGAGAAAAACCAAAAGGAAGAAAAAAUAUAAAAGAGUAUUUUCCCACGUUCAUCACCCUCGUAGAUUGACCCAUACAAAAAUUUGAAAUUAAGAAGUAAUUUCAUGAUAAUUGCUCUGCAAAUGUCAGUUCUGGCUCGUAAUUUGGGAACAGUUGCUGAAAAAACCCUAGAAAAAGAACUGAACUUUUCGAUUGAGCAUGAAAAUAUUUAUACUUUCUCGUGUGUUUUCUCGGCAAACAAACAAGUUGAUGUAAAAAUUAAAAUUUCUUGAGAGAGAGUACGGACUAACAAGUUGUAGGCAGAAUGCUUUCUAUGGAGGUUCUUCUCCGAAUCGAUUGCCAUGGCUUCCAUGGCGGGAAAAUAAGAAAGAGUCAGGGUUGUAAGUGGUGGAUCAUGUAUUGACAGAGGUGCAGGGCUUGCACGUGUUUUGUUAGGUAUUUUUUAAUUGUUUUUCUUUCUCUUGUCUUUAUCAUUAAAUAGAGUUAGUGGGUGGUUUUUGGUUAAAACUUAAAGUUUUGAAACCUUUUUCAUUAGUUUUCCUUUUAAUCCCGGAAUCAUUAAAGAAUGUAUUUAAGCUAUUUUUUUUUAUUAAAUUAAAUUUAAAAAAAAAAUAUGUAGACUAUCGUAAAUUAAUUUUAUGAACAUUUUAAUCUAAAAAUAUUUAAAUUCCGAUAAAUAUUGAAAAAUCACUAAAUUUUCCACAAAGCAAGCCUUCAACUUUCCACCAAUCUUUCAACCUUGGGCUAACUUUCAAUUCACCAACAGUUCAACACCAAAUUUUCAAUUCACCAACCGUUCAACACCAAACUUUCAACUUUCACCAAUUGUUCAACUUUCAUCAAUCAUCCUCUAUAUAAACAUAUGUCCAAUAUUAGUUGAUCACACAACCUUUCAACCUUCAAUCAUCCUCUAUAUUCACCAAUCUGUCAACUUUCAAAGAGUUUUUGUUUCCUAAAAAUCCUCAACAUCUCAUCAAUGGGUGAUAGAAGAAGGCGUAGCAUGACAAUGUAGAUGACACAAAACCAACCAAGGAAUAAUAAGUACAAUAAGGCAUCUAGAUUAAUAGAAACAAUAAUUAAUAAGACAUAAAUUGAAUAAAGUACAUAAACCACAUAAACUUAAUACAACCGAUAAUUCAUAAACCACAUAAUUAUUAAACUACAUAAACUUAAUACAACUGACAAUUAAUAAAGCAACAUCUUCGCUAACACAAACCCAUGCCAAACAUAAAGCAACAUAUUCCUCACAGGUCCAAUUACGACCUUUAAUAUGCUCUAUUGCCAUGUUGAACAAUUUGGAAAUGAAAAGAAAUGGUAGAAAGAUAAAUUGGAAGAAUUGUAGGAGAAAAUUGAGUUUUGUGUGAAUGUUUGAACAAAUACAUAGGUAUUUAUAGAGUUUUUGGGUGAAUUUUGAGUUAAAUAAUUUUUUAAAAUUAUUUUAGCCUUUGGAUUUAAAUUUGGGCCGUUAGAUAUUUUUUUUUUUACCGUUAGAUUUGAUUAUAUUCGAUCACAUCCGUUGAAUUCAAUAAUAUAUAAAUAUAAAAUAAAAAAAUUUGAAUCUAAGCCGUUGGAUUAACCAAUGGCCUGAUGAUCAUAGCCAUUCGAUCGAAAGAGCCGUUGGAGCUCUGGGGAACAAGGCUGACAGGCCCACGUGGGUGGGUCCCGGUAGGUCUGAAGGAGCGCGCGUUUGGCGAGUCCACAAGCUGGGUUUGGAGCCCAAACGCUGAAAACCACUCUCUUUGGUGGGGCACACUCCGAUUUUGGGCUAAAUUUGGGCGGUUUCUGGCCUUACUUCCCUUUUUAGCAUCUAGCCCACAUUUUCCCCUUGGGUUGGAAUGAGUGCAGGGGGAAUUUGGGGGGGGGGGGAAGUUAGUAUUUAGCCCACCAUUGGAGGUGGUCUAAUAGAGAGAAAGGUAAAGAAACAAACUACUUCUCAUGCAAAUAACUCAUUCUUCUGCAAGAUAUCAAAAGAUGAGUAGUGGGGAAAUAUCGAAGUACGAUACAUGAUUUUGCUUUCACAACACGAAUCAAGCAACCAACUAUUCAACAUCGUAGCUUUUAAUGGUCGAGCAUUCAUUUAGUAUAUAGUCUCUCUUCAUUUAUUAGCUAAGGAAAUACAGAACGAGAUAAUUAAAGCCAAUUCAAACUAGUACCACACCUUGCAAUAUCAAGUGCAAGUUUUACAUCUAUGAAAUAUACUCUUCGUACUAUUUCGAAAUACAGAAAAAUAAGAACUCAGGAAAUAACCAAAACUUAUACAAACCAUGGCAUUAAUAUUCCAUAUUAAGAAUACCAAUGGAAUGGGAAAAUACCUUGGGCAAAUAAACAAACUACUUCUUCUAUCAUUUAAACCAAAGUCAACUUAUUAUCAAACAAAUUAGAUACUCCAAGAUCAAAUUUGAAAUAACCAAACCAAAGCCAACAUGUUAUCAAACAAAAGUAAAUACUCCAAGAUGUAAACAAAUCUAAAAUAACCGCAUUCACUCGAUAUUGUAUUUUCCAUUCUGAGCGUUCUUCUGGUGUCAUUUUCAAGAACUCUUUUUUCAUUCCCAAUUUUUGAACCAACGCAACUACUUUGUAAUGACUAGGAGCAUCCAAGUUUGGAGUCUCUUUGAUAGCAUCCCGCACAAUGUUGAUUUUCUCCUCUUCUUUUUUCUCCAUUUCUUUUUUUUUUCUCUAUCUUUUUCUCUUUUCGCCAUCAUGCUAUGAAUUCCUUGAAUUUCAGUGGCAAUUGCAGCAAUCGCAUCCAUUUAAUUUGGUUCGGACUUAGGUUGAGAUCUUUUCCUUGGAAGUAGCUUUUCUAUGGUUGUAGCAGCGGGAGCCUCAAAAUUUGCAUCUAGGAAAGAUGAAGCAUAUGAUGGCGUUUGGAAUAAUGGAUCAAGUUGCUCGACGUUCUCAUCAAAGGGAGGAAAUUCGUCUACUCUGAUUGGCCUACUUUCUUCAACUCUAUAUGUUGUGGCAUCAGUAUCAUCGCCCAAUCCAAUCAAGUUAUUUCCUUUAGCUGUUCCAUCACCAAAAACAGUCAUCAAAUCUUCAUAGUCUGCAAAUAUCUCUUUGCGAAUACCUUGACUCUUUGGGUGAGACUAGAAAAAACAAAAACAUAAAUUGUUAAAUACCAAAUGUAUAAACAUGAAAGAUCAUCAUGUGUAAAUAAUAUAUUCUUUAAAGAAAAAAAAAUGACCCUAAGGAAGCCUUCCCAUACUUCAUCACUAGCUGUGAACUUCUUUGUGAUAGGGUCCCAACCAAAUCCAGAACUAUGUCCAAAAAGCUGGCAAAUUGAUUGAAAUCGACCCUUCAAUGUUUUCAUAUGGUUCUUAACAUGAUCUUUAGUUUUUUUACGCCCAAGUUUUUCAUUGAGCACAGGAACAAUUUUGGCUUCUAUGGUCUACUUACUUAUCAUGCCAUUAGCAUCACGCCAUCCAUUGUUUACCGCCUCAACAAGUAGUUGUAACAACAUGUUGUUCUCUUGCACGGACCACUGAUUAUAGUUUCCUUUUGUCUUUUCUUGUUGUGAAUCUCCCAUUUAUAAUCUUACUAGAUGAUGCAUUAUAAUAAAACAAUGAGACAUGAUAAUAAAAGCAGAACAUGAUAAUGGGGAUUACAAGCAUAAAUGACUAUAAAAAGGAUUGGAACAACAUAUUGAUAUAUUAUUAACGUAACAAGUAUAAUGUGACACACCCCGAGUAUAAUGUGACACACCCCGACCCGAAUUAAGGCAUGCUGGCAGUCACGUAAGGGUGACGUAGCCAUGUGCACAGUGCAGAAGCAAUAAAGAUAAUAGAGAAUACGAAUAAAUGAAAACCAACUCAUAAGAGAACUAGUUAAGACAAGUGCUAGAAUAUGUGUGAAUACACAAUCAGAGCAUGAGUAGCCUAAGUUCAUUCCAGAAAACAAGUACUAAUUAAACGACACCCAAAGAUCCCUACAUUUGUGAUAGUCUAUCUGAACCUCCAAUCAAUCCUCGUGAGCCACCCACAAACAAGCUUAUCUAAAACCUGGAAGGGUGCAAAACAGAAAGUGUGAAUGGGCAAAAACAAAGCUUUACAAAACCAUUUUAUUUAUCAAAUGCUCUAACCCCUCACCCUAAAACAUGUAUAACUUUCCCAAAAAUGGAAUAUAUAUAUAUAUAUAUAUAUAUAUUUCAAAUCAUGCUUCACAUAUCCAUAUUCAUAAGUAUGCCAUGCCAAAAUAUAAAACAGAAUAAGUAACUCAGGUGAAAAUAAAUUCAUGGAUAAAUAACAUAUUAGCCGGAACGCCUGCAGAGGUAUGUACGGCUGAAUUCAUAGCUCAUUAGUCAAUCUAGCCGGAGUCACUACAAGUGACCUAUACGACACUACAUUGCACAUGAGUCAGAACCACUGCAAAGGUCUAUACGACAAGACUGGGUGUAAUAUAGUUAUGCUCAAUGCUACGCUCUCAUGAUAGAUGUGCGAUAAAUCGCUAGUCACCUACAAGUCGAAACCACCUAUGAUGGUCUGUAUGACAAGACUGUGCACCUAAAUUGGAUCUAAUGUGAGCAUAUGGUGUGGGAUGUGACAUUAUAAAUAGGCAUGUACUAUAUCUUUGGCUAAAUCACAAUCACCCGAUGUGCUGAUUUAUGAGCUCUCAAUCACGCGUCACAUUAUCAAUAUCUCAUAUAACAAAACAAUACUCACCUGGUACUUACCUGAGCGUCUACAUUACCAAUUCAUAUUAUGCAUUAUAUACUAAUUCAUAUGCUGAUUAUAACUUUAUAUGCAUGGCAUUUCAAAGCAUACUUUUAUUUAAACGCAUUUUCUGGGAAAAUAUCAAGUAUAUAAAUUUAUACUGAAAACAAAAUUCCACUCACUGAUAUGUCAAAGGGUCGUAGCCCCGAGCCGCCCUUGACUGCGUUCGUCCUCCGGAUAGGUCUCACCUAUAUGUGAAAUAACUGAAUAAACGUUAUUUAAAGCACAUAGACAAAACUAGUUAAUAACUUCUCAUACAUUGCUCGAAUGAGAUGUUUGAAUAUACCAACGUGAUCUACACAACCUCAUGAACAUCCCCAUAUUUAUAGAAAAAAAUUCCGACAUCCCAUGCUCCUCCACGCGUAGGGAAUCCUAACGGAAUCCCUAACCGCCGUUAGGAAUAUUCCAUUAAAACCUUAACAGACGUUAACGGCGUUACCUUUUUUCAUUAGAAUAUUCCGUCAGACUUGACGGAAUAUGCUCCUUCGUCUUCCUCAGCUCGUCGGAGUCCGGCGCCGGUGACCUCUACGUUACCGGUUUCUGGAAAAUAAUAAAACCUUCAUUUCUCACUCAAUUUUCCACCAAAUUUCAUGAAACUUGAACCAAAUUGAAGCUUAGGACGAAUAGAACACAACCAUACCUGUUUUGGGACCUAAAAUCCACAGAAAUUUGCAGAAGGACCUUCGAUAAUCUGGUCAAACUUUAAAUGCAUCGAUCUCGACUUCCCGAUGUCUAAAUUAUGUCAUUUUUCUUCUCCGAGCUUCGUGAAGAGGUCCUUAAUCUUCCUAUAAGCUUGAAAUCCUCUAAAAAUCAUGCAUUUACGACUGCAUGAAUAAUACCUCAAAACUGGGAUCUUGGGUUCUUGGGUUUUCUAAGCUUUCCUUUCCUAUAAAUGGUAUGAUUGGACUCAGAAGCCUACAAUGAACUCAAAGGUCAUAUUCUCCUCGUCGAUCCGUGCCUAAAUGGAAUGGUUUGAGAAUUGUUCGUACGCGUGUACUGACGUUGUAGAAAUUUGAGAAAUGGAGGAGAAAAAGUGUACACAGGGAAGGGGAUAGGUGUGUGUGUGGUCCUAGUUGGUUACUAAUCCACAAAACAAAGUAACAAGCCUAAGUCUUUUCCAAGAACUUAGAAUAUAUUAGAAUUAACCAACUUAAGUACAUAAUACACACAACACACUUUAACGUCCAAGGGUAAAUUAGUAACUUCCACGUUUGAGACCAAUUAAUAUUACAACAUUUCGGAAUAGGUUGUGACAAUUUACCCACCUUAAAAAUUUCGUCCUCGAAAUUCAUACACAACAAUACAUCCACUAAUAACCAUAAAACAAUCGUGGAUACGUCUCUCUCAUUCGAUCUUCUGUCUCCCAGGUAGCCUCCUCCACAUAGUGAUUUCUCCAUAAUACUUUCACCAGACGCACUGUCUUAUUUCUCAGAACCUUAUCUUUCCAAUCCAAAAUCGUCACAGGCUCCUCGUCAUAAGUCAAAUCAGGAUUAAUUUCCAAAGAUUGAGGAGGAAUCACAUGUGAAGGAUCUGCAAUAUAAUGACGAAGCAUAGAGACAUGAAAAACAUCGUGCACUUUGGACAACUCUGGAGGCAAUUCAAGUCUAUAAGCAACUUUACCGACUCACUCGAUGAUCAUAUAUGGUCCAACGUACCAAGGACUCAGCUUGCCUUUCUUUCCAAACCGCACAACACCUUUCCAAGGUGAUAACUUCAGAAAUACCUAAUCACCUACAUUAUACAUCCAGUCAGUGGCAUGUCUGUCUGCUAGACUCUUCUGUAGAUCUUGAGCCACUUUCAGGUUAGACUUAAUCACCUGAAUAUUCUGAGUAGUCUCCUCCACUAUCUCAGGACCCACUAAAACUCUUUCACCAAGCUUUAACCAACAUAAAGGUUGUUGGAAAUGUGCCCUAAAACCAAUCAUAUGAUGAUACUUUACGGACAUUUCACAUGUUAAACUAAUCUAGUUUAAUAUCAAGGGCAAAUAUUAUUGUUUUAAGCCGUCUCAUAUAAAUAUUAUAUGCUUAAACGAUAAGUCCAAGGAAUAUGUAAUUAGGAGAAUGUAAUUUAAAGAAGUUAGAUUCAUGAGACCAUUCUCUUUCAUAUACAUAUCCUAAACGUUCCUGAUCAUAGGAUUGCCAAUUGGGCAUUGACAGUCCGUUAAGAUCAAUACGUGCUGUGUCUUUUCUCAGGGAGAGUGACUGGUCCCGAGUCAUUGGUGUGAUUGACACCAAGACAAGCAUGUAGGUGCUCAAUAGAGAAUGAGUCCACUGAACAUGAUCGACGAGGAGUUCUCAUACUCAUGUCACAUGAGAACUCAUGGUUGGGAUAAUGCAAAGUAGUCCUUUGACCUGAGGCAUCAUAGUUGUCUUGUGGUUAAGUCCUUGAUCUUUGACUAUGUCAAAGUCACUCUGUUAAAGGUGUCCACGGCAUAGUUGGAGUUAAGCCACUUAGCCAUGGAGGCAAGUGAAUGCGCAACAAGGGAUCUCUAACCUUCAAACCGUUUGAGGGGGAAUACUCUAUAAUAUGAUUUAAGAAUCUCUGGCCAGAGUAUGAAUGAGAUUUAGGAAGUUGUUCCAAAUCACAUUCAAAGUAAUCAUAUAAGUAAAUGAAUCACAUUGGAUAGUAGACAUGAAUAAACUAUCAAACCAAACAAUGUGGUUAAGAGUAUUGUAUUAGAGAAAGACUGUAUUGCAUUGUAAUCCUAAACUGAAUAGGUUCUCCACCUCUUCUGAUUAGCUUGGGUAACCAUGACAUACUGCUAGGUGUCACUCAUGGUUUGUGGAAGCCCUAAACGUGUAUAAACACUAAAGGGAGAAUUGAAAGUAAGUUUCAAUUCACAAUCGAUUUGAAAAAGUUCUAAUCGCCCACUACCUCGCUAAAAGGAACCUAAUGGAUCGUACACCGUGUAAGGUAGAGAUUGAAGAAACAACGGAGAUUUGUAAGGAUAAUUAAAUGGUUUAAUUAUUUAUGGCAAGGAUUAAUUAAUAUGUUAAUUAAUCAAACGAAUAAAGUUUGUUAAAGACCUCGGGUUAGUUUUGGGCCUCAAGGCCCAAUGGGCUUCGAACGUCAAGCCCAUUAACUUAAGUUGUAUGACAACUUAGUGACUAAAUAUUCACAAAGGCCCAAACAGCCCAAUAACACCCUAUGGCCGGCCAUAUUGAUAAAGGAGUGGGUUUUGGACUUAUUACAAGUUUGCCACUCCAAUGAAGGUAGGUAUAAAUAUGACUUUAUAGCCUUUUCUUCAUUAGGGUUUCUUUUAGAGAAAAUAUGAGAACACAAUGUCUCUCCCUUUCUCUCUAAGAGGUCGGCCACCCUAGAGGAUUUUAGCUAGCAAUCUUACUUCCUCUAGGUCACCCAUCUCUUCUUCAAGUCCUUCCUUGGUGUGGAAAAAUUAGAGGUUCUCAAUUUUGGGAACUUGGGAAAUCCUUUCAACCAUCCUCAUCCAAGAAAUCCAUGGAUCUAAGAAGCAAGGAAUGAAUGCCCUCUCCUUGGGUGAUUAGCCUUUGCUCAUGCAAAAAGGAAUCAACAAAGGUAUAAAAUCUCUUAACUCACUUUGUUCUUAAGUGGAGUCUUGGUUCACCUUUCUACUAGGCUUUGAAUUUCAUGGGUAAUGUUUUGUUUUUGAGUGCAUACAAGCAUGAUUCCGCCUUUAAAUGUUAAUUGCAUGCAAUAGAUGUUGCUCAAAUGAACAUGUUUUUCACAAAAUUUCCUUCAAAGGUGUGAGACAGGAUUUACCAUAAAGAGCCUUGAAAGGUGACAUACCAAUACUAGAAUGAAAACUGUUGUUGUAGGCAAAUUCCUUCAAAUCCAACCGCUUAUGCCAAGCGUCACCAAACUGCAACACCGAAGAUCUCAACAUAUCCUCUAACAUCUGAAUAGUCCUAUCAGACUGCCCAUCUGUUUGAGGAUGAUAUGCCGUACUAUAAAGUAAUCUAGUACCAAGAGCUUCCUAGAACGCUACCCCAAACUUAGAAGUGAAUCUAGGAUCACGAUCCGAGAUAAUACUUAUUGGAACUCCAUGGUACUUCAUGAUCUUCGAUACGAAUAAUUCAGCUAAUUGGCUUAAAGAAUACUUCUCCCUCACAGGAAUAAAAUGUGUUGACUUAGUAAGCCGAUCAACUAUCACCUAAAUACCAUCAUAACCAUUAUGUGUAUGAGGAAGCUUGAUGCGAUGAAAGUUAAGCACUCAAAUUAAACCCUCUUGUUGUCAAAUUGUAGUAUAAAUGCAAGUAGGGAUCGUUCUGAACUGGGGAUUAUGAGGGCUUGCUAAAACCUCUAAACUUACUCAAAAACAUAAAAACAAAGUUAAAAAUAUUUGAAUAGACUCAAGGGACUCAAAACAGAUUCUAAAGACACAAAACUACCUAAAAACACAAACUGGGCAGAUUUGACUCUAACACAAUUUUGGACGAAUUUAGUGUUUUGGCUUGAAUCAAAACACUCAAAAACACAAACAAAACCGAAAUUUAACACUUUGAAACAAGAAAGUAAAAUGGGGAUUUUGGUUUUGAUGAAUUUGAACAAACAAACAAGUUAUAAAACUAGGCAGAUUGUAAGACAAAUUUUAGGAAAACGAUGAUGGAUGGAUUAGUUAGAGGUCCGUUCUUCACACAUGACACACUUGUACAUGAAUCGAUUUCCAAUUGCUUUUCAAUAAACUAUGAUGCUCAAGACUCCAGAUUAACCGUGAUGCACAAAUUAACCCUCAGAUUUUCCUUUACUCAUUGAGUUGGAUGAAUGCAUGCAACAACCCAAAUCAUUCUCUAAAAGUCCCCUAUAUGAAUGCAUCAUAGAGAUACAAUCAGAGAUCAUUACGUUCAAUGAAAAUCAUAAGUGUUGACGAGGCAAUUGUAACUAUGAAUGCAUGAUACGUUUGCCAAGAAUUCAAUUAAUGCGAUUGUGACAAACAACCUUCACUACUCAUGAAUAUAAACUUGUAACGAUUAGGUAAAACUCAUUUAUAUUUUAGCGUCUAAUUCAUGCAUGAAAACUAAGUAUGCAUCCUUAAUAAACAUGCAAGAAUCAGUUAUGAAGAAGAUAGAUAAUUGAAUUGCAAUCACAACUUAUCAAAUCACAAUUGGAAGAAAUCAAUUCAUAUCUCAAGCAUGUUCAUGGCUUCAAACUUCCCCCUAACUAAAUAGGGGUUUAGCUACUCAUUGCAACAAAAUCAGAAAAUAACAAAGUAGACAUUGAAAGCAAGAAUGAAGUACACCUAAAACGCUCCAAAGUUCCAAGCUUGAAACGCCAUGGACCUUCGUUUUCACCACCUUGUUGCAGCACAAGUGUCUAGGAUGUGUAUGGAUAUUUGGAAAGGUUAGGAAUGUAUUUAGGAUUGGUGAAUGUCUCGGCCAAGGGAAGAUGACAAUGUAUGCUUUGUGUUUUGGGAUAUGUUGGAUGAAUGUAUAUGUGAAUGUGGUUGAAUGUAUGGUGAAUGGGGAAUGGCUGGAUGAAUGAUGGAGGUCACGGCAAAGGAAAUGAAAGUGUUUGUGGGAUGUCAAAAUUAUGGAUCAAGAUUGUUCUCCCCUAAGAAUGGGAAUGGUGGAUGCAUUUAUAGGCUAGGGAGAGGACCAAUCCAUUUCCUUUGCAUGCGUGUGAGCUGUCCAUGUUUCCCUCUACAUUUGCACACACAUGCACUCAUCAUUUCAGCCACAAAUCACUACACUUUCUGCCCAUGUCGUGUGUCUUUCUUUCCUUUUGCAUGUAUUUGUUCCAUGUUCUUGUGGCAGAAAUGUUAAGUAAUGAUGAAGGGUUACUGCUGCACAAGUGUGAAGGAUGGUGCUCAAGGCCUCUUUGCAUGUGUGUAUUUCCACUUCUUCAUUCUUCAUUUUCUGAUUUCCUGCUGCCCAUGUGCCUUCAUUCUAUGUUUCCUGCUGCCCAUGUCGUGCCUUUCCAUGUUGUCUCUCCUUUAUUUUUCCAAACUGUCCAUGUAGAGUGUGUAUGCCCUCCAACCUGUGCAGUUUGCAUGUGUGUAGCUAUCCAUGUUUCUCUUUUGCAUGUGCCGUGCCUUCUCUUUCUAGCUGUGCAUUUCCACUUGCUCCAAAGCCAAAUGAGUGCAAUCAUAACCCCAUUUUCUGCUGAGUGUUGAUGACAAAGCAAAACACAAAACAAGUGUCUUUACUUUCUCAUUUUAUUAGCCAAAUCUGCUUAGCCCUUUUCUGAACCUUUCAGUGUUACAAUGCCCAUAACUUCUUCUGAAAAAAUGAUACUAACAAUCCGUAAAUUGCUCCAGAAAAUAGACAUCUGUAGCUUUCCAAGCAUAUAAGGCUCAUUCUCUCAUUCAUUCUGAGUUGUUCGUAACAUGCUUCCAAAGUCAGCUAAUCUGCACAGGCAGUUUUGACGAAUUUGUUACUUAAUAUCUCACUUGUGCUACUUUUCUUUCUUUGCUUGAUAAAUCACACAAAACACAAAAACAUAGUAAAUAGCUCAAAAAUAUAAGGAACUAACUAAGAAAAGACAAGUGAAUUUUAUGUAAAAUAUAUAUAAAUAUGAGCUUAUCAAAGCUUGUACACAAAAUCCAUAGUAAUAUUUUCCCAUUUCCACUAUGGAAUAGGAAGUGGCUGCAUCAACCCAAACGGCUUCUUCCUUUUAGCUUUAACCUGCUCGCAAAUGACACACCUACUUACAUAUUCAACAAUUUCUCUUUUCAUACCUGGCCAAUAACAAAAAUGGUUGAAUGGUAUGAUACAUUUUUGUAUCUCCUAGAUGCAUUGCAUAAGUUGAAAUAUGUGCUUCAUCAAGAAUUGCCUUCUUUAACUCUGCAUUAUUCGGCACAUACAUUAUGUUCUCUUGCAUAAGCGUGCCAUCAGUUUCUCGAAUUCUAAAAUCUUUCUUCUUACCUCAAUUUCUUUCUUGAAUUAAUUCUUGGGUUUCUUCAUCAACCAUAUGAGCCUCGAGUACUCGAUCAAUUAAUAUUGGCCUAACUUGAAAAUUUGCAAGUAAGGCUUCCUAUCGAUCUUCCACUCCUAACUCUACUCCAGUGGACCUCAAAACUGCAAGAAGAGGAACAUGACAAUCAUAGAUGGCAUUAAGUCUAGUUGGAGUCUUCCUACUAAGUGCAUCCGCCACUGCAUUUGCACGACCAGGGUGAUACUCAAUCGUGCAAUCAUAAUCGCUAAGCAACUCAAUCAACCUUCGUUGCCGAAGAUUAAGAUCCCUUUGAGUAAAAAGAUAAUGAAGACUCUUAUGACCCGUGAAGAUAUUACAUUUCUCGCCAUAAAGAUAAUGUCUCCAAAUCUUUAAAGCAAAGAUGAUAGCCGCUAACUCCAGAUCAUGAGUAGGGUAAUUCUUCUCAUGAGGUUUCAACUAUCUUGAAGCAUAAGCAAUCACUCUACCAUGUUGCAUCAAUACACAACCCAGGCCAUUUAAAGAAGCAUCACUGUAGACCUCAAAAUUACCACUAUCAUCUGAGAGUGCCAAAAUAUGUGCAUGAGUGAUAAUACUUCAACUGCUAAAAACUUUGCUCACAAUUAUCAUCCUACUCAAACUUAACAUACUUCCUGGUCAAUCUCGUCAAUGGUAAGGCAAUAACUAAAAAAUCCUUAACAAACCGUCUAUAAUAGCCUGCUAGGCCAAGAAAACUCCGUGAUGGUUCGAGGUUGCUCCCAAUUCUCCGCAGCUACCACUUUUUGAGAAUCCACUCGAAUACCUUGAGCUGAUAUAACAUGUCCCAAAAAUGUCACUUGAUCUAACUAGAAUUGGCAUUUGCUAAACUUAGCAUAAAACUGGUGUUCCCUCAAACUUUUUAACACCAAUUUAAGAUGUCUAGCAUGCUCUGCUCUAGACUUAGAGUAUACCAGAAUAUCAUCAAUGAAAACAAUGACAAACCUGUCCAAAUAUGGCUAGAAAGUCAGUUCAUUAGAUCCAUGAAAGCUGCUGGUGCAUUAGUUAACCCAAAUGGCAUCAUAAGAAACUCAUAAUGACCAUAUCGAGUCUUGAAAGAUGUUUUAGGGACAUCUUCACUUUUAAUCUUCAAUUGGUAGUAACCAGACCUUAAGUCAAUCUUAGAGAACAUACAGGCACCUCGGAGUUGAUCAAACAAAUCAUCUAUACGUGGUAACGGAUAACGGUUCUUAAUUGUUACCCGGUUCAAUUACCUGUAAUAAAUGCAUAGCCUCAAAGUUCCGUCUUUCUUCCUCACAAAUAGAACUGGAGCUCCCCAGGGUGAAGUACUAGGCAGAAUAAAACCUUUAUCCACUAAUUCCUGCAACUGAACUUUCAAUUCCCUCAUAUUAUGCAUCAUACUAAUUCAUAUACUGAAUAUAAAUUUAUAUGCAUGACAUUUCAAAGCAUACUUUUAUUUAAACGCAUUUUCUAGGAAAAUAUCAAGUAUAUAAAUAUAUACUGAAAACCAAAAGCUCACUCACUGAUAUGUCGAAGGGUCGUAGCCUCUGAGCAGCCCCUGAUUGUGCUUGUCCUCAGGAUAGGUCUCACCUAUAUGCGAAAUAACUGAAUAAACAUUAUUUAAAGCACAUAGACAAAACUAGUUAAUUACAUCUCAUACAUUGCUCAAAUGGGAUGUUUGAAUAUACCAACGUGAUCUACAUAACCUCACGAACAUCCCCAUAUUUUUAGAAAAAAAUUUUGACGUCCCACGCGCCGACAAGUGCACGAAAACACGCGCGGCCACACGCAGAGAAUCCUAACGGAAUCCCUAACCGCCGUUAGGAAUAUUCCAUUAAAACCUUAACAGACGUUAACGACAUUACCUUUUGCCAUUAGAAUAUUCUGUUAGACUUGACGGAAUAUGCUCAUUCGUCUUCCUCAGCUCGUCGAAGUCCGACGCCGGUGACCUCUGCGUUGCCGGUUUCUGGAAAAUAAUAAAACCUUCAUUUCUCACUCAAUUUUCCACCAAAUUUCAUGAAACUUGAACCAAAUUGAAGCUUAUGAUGAAUAGAACGCAACCAUACCUGUUUUGGGACAAAAAAUCCACGGAAAUUUGCUAGAGGACCUUUGAUAAUUCGGUCAAACUUCAAAUGCAUCGAUCUCGACUUCCCGACGUCCAAAUUAUGUCAUUUUUCUUCUCCAAGCUUCGUGGAUAGGUCCCUAAGCUUCCUAUAAGCUUGAAAUCCUCUAAAAAUCAUGCAUUUACAACUGCAUGAACAGUACCUCAAAACUGGGAUCUUGGGUUCUCGGGUUUUCUAAGCUUUCCUUUCCUAUAAAUGGUACAAAUGGACUUAGAGCCUAAAAUGAACUCAAAGGUCAUAUUUUCCUCGUCAAUCUGUGCCUAAAUGGAAUGGUUCGAGAAUUGUCCGUACGCUUGUACGGAUGUUGCUGAAAAUCAAAAAAAGGAGGAGAGAGAGUGUACACAGGGAAAGGGAUAGGUGCAUAAAAAUCUCAGAAGAGGACAUUGCUCACCACCACAAGGUUUCCUCACUUUAUAAGGCUUUGUCCUUUAUAGAAAGUGAUUGGAGUGAUGGACCUUGGAGAGUAAAAUUGGGCUCACCCUUGGGGUUGGGCUUUGGGGUGUAAUAAUUAAUUGAUAAUUAAUUAAUAUUUAAUAUAUAUAUAUAUAUAUAUAAUUAAUAUAUAUUAAUUAAUUAUCAAAAGAUGUGAGAGAUUAAAAUGGAAUUAAGUGCAGUACAAUGGUUGUUAUGUCAAAAUGUAAAAGGACAUGGCUGGACAAGAUGAGUUAUGAAUCAACAAAAAGUGGGUUAUCAAAUUUAUACAUAUAUACGGGUUACAAAUCCUAUCUUACAAAGCGUAAUUAAUCUUUGUCAACCCAAAGCCCAUCCCAUCUAACCCACCAAAUGAACCCUUGUGGCCUGUAGAAAUUCACUUUUGCAGUCUCCUAAAAUCUUGGGUUACAUUGGGUUCUGCAUUUGAAUACUCCUCUUCAAAAUUGCUUGUAUAGAAGAAAAUAAGAGUUUAUUAGGUAACGUCUUGCAAAACUGUUGUUCAUUUUAUUGAUACAAAACAAUUGUAAAAUGUUUUUAGUAUGUUGUUUUAAAAGAAUAAAGAAUGAAAAACACAAUAUACAAUAUUUAGCCUAGUUUGGGUGCAACAUUUUAUUGGUAUUUCAUGUGUUUUUCAAGAAUGACUUCCAAAUAAAGUAGAAAACACAUGUAUAAGAUAAGGUCAUGGUUUAAAGAAGAAGUAAAGAAAAAAAAUAUUCAUAGUGGGUUUUUGCUAAUCAGACUAGGAUUUGAUGAGGCAUCUGUUGGAAAUUUUGAGUAUAAUUUCAUUAUCCCACAUUGCUUACCGCCACAAGGUUUCCUCACUUUAUAAGGCUUUGUCCUUUAUAGAAAGUGAUUGGAGUGAUGGACCUUAGAGAGUAAAAUUGGGCUCACCCUUGGGGUUGGGCUUUGGGGUGUAAUAAUUAAUUAAUAUUUACUCUGAGAGCAUAUCUGAGAAACAGAUGGAGCAGUACACCCUUUACGUUGAACAGUCGCCUCCCAAAAACAUGUUUGUUGCGAACAGACAUAUGAUUACUAUAUAUAUAUAUAUGCAUCUGCAUAUCAUUCAAAUCACUUAAAAUCAUCAAUCAUCAUAUACCAAGUAUAUUGAGAGUACCACAAACCAAUUCGCCAGAAGUCUAGUUUUCCAGUAGUGGAAUUCUAACUUAGAUCGUUGAAUCCUGGUGAAGCAGACGUCCAUAGAACUACAAGCACUGAGUAGGGACGAAAUUUCUAUUUCAAGGAAAUUGCGGUACGCAAGCCUCGAUCUUCAAGUUGUUUGUUUUAUAAUUGUGUUUUGUUCAUACUCUGUUAAUUGUUAUAUCUGCAUUUAUUGUUUAUUAGCAUAUAUAAUUAAAUCACAGAUUGUUGACUUAUAUCCAACAUCAUCUACUUCUUCUUGUAGAAUGUUGUUCAUAAUGGUUGGCUAGGUAGGACUAGGGAUGGGCAUCAGUUAUGGAGGGUGGGUAACCGCGGUUAUUUACGCAUAAAUGUUUAAGCUUUUACCUGCAUAAUCAUUUACCCGUUGGGUAUUUACAUAAACGGGUAUACCCAUAUCCAUAACCGUUUAUAAACGGUUAACCAUACCCAUAACUGCAUAACCAUUUACCCAUAACCGCAUACCCAUUUAAUCAUAACUGCGUACCCAUUUACCCAUUUUUAACCCGUUUACUCUUCUUCUUUUUUUCACCCGUCUACCUAUUUUUUUAACAACUUGAAAAUUAAAAAGAAAUUUGUCAUAAUUUUCUUUUUCUAACAAUCAAAUACCAUUAUAAAUAGAUUUAACAUGAAUUUUUGUAUUAAGGACAAUAUUAUUUAUGAAUAUAUGCGAUGUAUCCCAAUUAUUUGACGGUCAAUCUAUUAUAAGAAUCAUGCAUGGUUGUAGGUUAAUUAAUAUUCUUGUAUACAUACAUACAUACAUACAUACAUACAUACAUACAUUAUGUAUGUAUGUAUGUCAUUACACAUCAGUCUGCUAACAAGCUAAUUUGAUAAAUAUUUGAUUUUUAUUUAGAAACAUAUGUUCAUCAAUCCAAGCCAUUUAAUUGAUUUCUAAUUUUUGGGUCAAAUACUUAUUGAAAACUUGAGGCCAAUUAAAUAUAUAUACAUAUAUAUAUAGGUAUGCAUCAGCCAACAAUAACAUGUUUCUACAAGUUCAAAGUAAUCAUUAUCUUGAAUUAGCCAAAGCUCCAAAAGACUCCAAAACAAAAUUGUCGAACACUCUAAUGCUUUAGCACAUUCAAUCACAUAUAUUAAACAUUGACCCGUUCUAUCAACUAUAUUUUUCUCUCAAGUGAGGCAUAUAUUUAUAUAUAUAUAUAUAUAUACACACACACAAAGAGCUUAAGGGGAGGGAUCCCCAUUUUUUGAAAAAAAUGGGGAUUAGGUGUGGGGCCCACUUCACAUCUAAUUUCAACGAUCCGAACCGUCUAUUUUGUUAGUCUCGAUUCAUAGAUCAUCCUUGCAAAAUAUUAGCUAAAUUGGAAAUGUUUAAGACAUCUAAUUGGGUUCAAGGAAAUGAACGAAUACUUUGUUAUAUAAGAAAAUAUGAAAUUUGAUAUUGAUAAUUAAAUAGGCAAAUGGUUUCGGAUUGAAUUGAAUUUUUGCAAGGAUGAUCUAUGAAUCGAGACUAACAAAAUAGACGGUUCGGAUCGUUGAAAUUUGAUGUGAAGUGGGCCCCACACCUAAUCCCCAUUUUUUUCAAAAAAUGGGGAUCCCUCCCCUUAAGCUCUCUGUGUGUGUAUAUAUAUAUAGGGGUGUGAUAUCCACACACCCCAUUUUACUUCUCACACACCCUUUUAAUUUUCGACCGUCGGAUCAGAUGAAUUGAAGAAGAUCAACGGACAGAAAUUAACAAGGGGUGUGUGAGAAGUAAUUUGGGGUGUGUGGAUAGCACACCCCUAUAUAUAUAUAUAUAUAUAUAUAUAUAUAUUAUGGCCCUUUAUAACCAAAUAUGUUUCGGAAUACUAAACUUAGCUAGAAACUAAUUUUUUUUUCUUUUAGUUUUACAUAUAUUAAAAUAAAUGGUUAAAUGGAUACCCGUUUAUAACCACGAGUAAUACCCAUAACCGCCCAUUUAAAUUUCACGGGUAAACGGUUAUAUUCAUAACUAUUUAUUUAUCUAAACAAUUACCCGUAACUGUAACCAUCAAAUUUAAAUGGGUAGAUAACCACGGUUACCCAUAACCAAUGGGAAUGUGCCCAUCCCUAGGACUCACCUUACAUUUAGGGCAUGUUUGGUAGGCAGACAAGUUAUCUAACCUAUUUUUUAUACAUGGAUUAUAAGUUAUGUCUUAUAAACUGUAAUCAAUCUAUGCCAAUUCAAACAUACUUCCAAAGUCCAAUUUCAUCCAACCCACCAAAUGAGACCCUUAGGAUCUAUUUGGUGGCUUAAUUGGGAUAAGUUGUGAUUAAUUAAAAUGGACUUGAGUGCAGUAUAGUUGUGUCAAAAUGUGGAAGAACAUGACUGGACAAGAUGAGUUUGGUUUCAAUAGGUUUAAUGAUGAUGAUAAAAUUUGUCAAAUCCGAACUAAAAUUUCAGUUCGGUUUAAUUUUUUUUGGUUUUUCUUCGGUUUGUUUAUUUUCGGUUCGGUUUCGGCUUGGUUCGGUUUUUUAUUUUUUAUUUUUCAUAAAAAUUUAAAAAAUAUAUAUAUAUUUUUUAAUUUGAAAAUUCACAAGAAAGGUGCGGGUGUUCAUUGAGAUGGUGGCUGUGAUGAUGAUGAUCCACCAAGGAAACAUGCAUAUACAAUCUUUCAGCAAAAUGAGGUAUUCUAAAAUCCCCCUGGUUUAGUUCUGAGCUCUCAAUCCCUCUUCUUCUCUGUCUCUGCCAGUCUCUGGUAGCCCGUUGGAUUGGAUUGGAUUUGUGCUAAACACCACAACCACCAAGUUGGUCCGGGAAUUUCUAUAUACGUCUUGAAAUUUUCAACAUAUUUGGGACUAAAACUAUAUUAAUGAUUGAUUUGAAAUUGGGUUUAAAAAAUUAAUAUCCAACGUAAAUAAAAAUAAUUGUAUUUAAUUUGGUUUGGUUUGGUUUUUGAACUACUAAAACCAAAACCAAACCAAAAUAUUUUUGGUUUGAUUCAAUUUUUUUGGUUUUGGUUCGGUGCUCAGUUCGAUUUUUUGGUUUUCAGUUUUUUGAACUCACCCCUACAAUAGAGUGGGUUAUCUAAUCUAUCCAUAUACACGGGUUACAAAUUCUAUCUUGCAAAGCGUAACCAAUCUCUACUAAUUCACUCCUAUCUCUAAGACUCAAUCACAUCCAACCCAAAGAAGCCUUUAGAGACUCUAGUGUUGUAAGAAUUCACUUUGCAGUCUUUUAAAUCUUGGGUUACAUUGGAUUGUGCAUCUGAAAACUCCUCUUCAAAAUUACUUGAAUAGAAGAAAACGAGAGUUUGUUUGGUAACGAUCAUUUUAUGGAUACAAAACAAUUGUAAAGGUAUGUUCUUUUAAAAGAAUAAAUAAUGAAAAAACAAAAUACAAUAUUUAACCUAGCUUGGGAACAAUAGCAUAUUGGUAUUUCGUUUGUUUUUUAAGGAUGGAUUAUGAUUCCACAAUAGAGUAAGUUAUCUAAAUCUUUUUAUAUGUUUACAAGUCAUGUCUUACAAAGCGUAAUCAAUCCUUACCAACCCAAUCCUUAAGGCCCAUUGCAUUCAACCCAACAAACGAGCCGUAUGGCUCUUGUGUUGUAGAAAUUCACUUUUGGUGUCUUUUAGAGCAAGUCCACCCCUAAGGACUUUGUGCCAGCACCCAGCCCAUUUAUCCACUCCAGUGAAAAAUAAUAAACUCCAAUGAACAAUAAUAGGCCAAUGAAAAGGAAAAACACUUCGCAAAAUGUCAAGAAGUGUGUAGGAAGGAUGUCGAGUGUUGUUUUGGUAUCCUGCAAGCUCGUUGGGCAAUUGUCAGGGCUGCAACUAGAAUGUUUGAUGUCGAGGCUCUUUGAUCCAUCAUGGUGACGUGUAUUAUUCUCCACAACAUGAUUGUUGAAGAUGAGUAUGAUUAUAAUGUCGUCGAUGAAUACGAGCCGGAUCCAAUCAACAACUCAUGAACACAUAUCUAUUGUGCUCAUGACAAUACCAAAGAUCCCGUGCAACACGACCCGUUGGAACGGGAUGGACAUUACAAUGAAUUGAUCGUUCAGCGGUACACGAACUUGCAAGAGCCAUAUUGGCACGUAACCCGCCAAAAUGACUUGAUUGAGCACCAGUGGGGAUUGCAAGAAGGUGAAUAUAAUUAAAAUGAGGCUUGUGGUUGAAGAAUAAAGUGUAUUUUUUUUUUAAGUUUAUGUAAUUCUAUGUAGUGUGUUUUGUUUUUAAGUUUAUUUGGUGAGUUUAUGUAAUCUUAUUUCAUGUGUUUAAAUAAAGUACAAAAAUAAAUAAAUAAUUACAUUAAAAUUGCAUAAUAAAUUAAAUAAAAAUAAAUAAAGUUCUAAAAAUAACAUAAGAAAUAACAUAAGAAAUUAAAUAAAGUUCAAAAGAAAAAAAGAAAAAACAUAAAAAUUACAUAAGAAAUUAAAUAAAAUUCUAAAAAAAUAAGAAAUUACAUAAAAAUUAUACAAAGUCUCUGGAGCUAGGAUAUGUGGUGCUAGGAUCUUGGUUGCUAUGAUUUGUAGCUAGAACCCCCUUGACUUGUUUCCACAUCUCUUGCACGCCUCAUUUGCACGACAUCUCUUUUUUAUGAUGUCCAAAAAUAUUUUGAAUUCGAAGAUAGUCCUACUAGAGACUUGCUUAUAGUGUCACGAUCUGCUUGAGCCAUUAUUUCUUCUCUAAGCAUUUCAUUUUCUCGAUGAAGUGCUUGUCUAACCAACUCGUUCUCUCGAUUAACUAUUUCUCUUUGUCUCUCAGCAGCCGCAUCACGGGCCUUAGUAGCUGUUAUUAUUGCUGCCAUAGCAGCAACUUUUUCCUCAUCUCUUGCCUUUUCUCGUGCCAUGUUCAGUUCACCUUGGCGAGCAAGUUCCUCCAUAUAUUUAGUGUAGUCAUUUUUGGAAGAACUACCUUUUUUCUUUGAUGCCUUUUUACCUUGAGGCCUGAGGGAUUGACGAGUCGGUUGGGUCUCGGGCACUUGUUCAGGCAUCCCUUCUGUGUCUUGAAAUGUGUCGACUUCUUGUUCGGCCGUGUCUGGUUCUGUCGAACUAUGUAGACCCAUGCCGUGCAUGACAACUUCUGGAGCAGUUGCCACAAUUUUGUAUUUAGGGCAAUCUUUGACAAUUUCCCAACAUUCCCAUUUUUUGAAUGAUUUGUUCUGGUUCUUUGAAUUGUAGAAUGCUUGAGCUUGUAGUGUCUAUAAAAAUGUGGGAUAAGAUAGUGUUAAAAAAUGCGGGUGUAACACAAAUUAAUAAAUUAAAAUAUUGAUGUGGAUGGAAUGCAUAUAAAUUACAUAAUGACAUAAGAAAUUAAAUAAAAAUUACAUAAGAAAUUAAAUAAAUUAAAAUUUUGAUGCGGGUGGAAUGCAUAUAAAAAUUACAUAAGAAAUAACAUAAAAAUUACAUACGAAAUUAAAUAAAUUAAAAUAUUGAUGUGGGUGGAAUGCAUAUAAAUAAAUAAAAAUAUUGUCACUUGAUCCGCUAAACUUGUCCCACUACGCAGGUUACCGGAAGCAUGAGAGAUGGCGUUUUUCCAACAAGUAAAUGAUGCGUUGAGUUUUUUCCAACGACCUUGAAGACCUUGACUAGUUCUGGCGUCAUUUCCAUGUACAUCGCAAAACGCUUUCGUAAUUUUACUCCAUAUUUCUCGCUUAUCCAUCUCAUUACCCGUAAUCGAGUCAUGAGUAGUGUGAACCCAACAUUCACACAACGUAACAUCUUCAAUGAGCUUCCACGAAGACAUUUUUCUCUCUUAAAGUGUAGAAAAUAUUGAAAUGUGGUGUAAGGUGGAAGAUGAGGGUUAGGUAUUUAUAGAAAAGAAAAAAUAACUUUUUUAAUAUUUUACUGUAUUUUAAAAAAAAUUGUAUUUUUUUUAUAAUUUUAAUUAAUUUUAAUGUAGUUAAUUAAUCUGGACCGUUGGAUUUGAAAAAUAUUCAAAUCCAAGAGCCAAGGAUCUAACGUGGCCAACGGUCAUAAAUCUGACCUGUUGAUGCACAAAACCGGAGGUCUUGGAACAACGUAAAUCCAACCGUGAAUCUGCAAGUAAUGUAAAUAAUACAAGAUGUAUCGUGGUUCACCCCAAGGUUUGGGCUACGUCCACACUGAUUAUGUAUUUAUCUGAGAGGUGAGGGGAGUGAGGGAGCUCUGUAAUGUGAGAGCUUUGGGAGGAUGAAUGAGCCUUAAGAAAUGGCUCCCCCUAAUUGUGAGGGUGAGGGGUCCUUUUAUAGAAUAAGGACUUCUCACUUAUUACAUAUUUGCCCAUUCCUUUAUCACAUAAUUACAUUUAAGUCCCCCGAGUAUUUGUACGAGAUCUAAAUACGAGACCCUAAAUAUGGUAUAAACAGUAGUCCCCCAAGUCUUCAGUCAAGAGAAUCUUUUGGCUAGAGACUUGAAAUUCAGUCCAUGUGUGGGCCGAAGUAACCAGAUGUUGUCUUGAACUGAUGCUCGAUAUGAGGCGGUGCUCAAUCUGAAAUGAUGCUCAACUAGAAGUAGCAUAUGCUUUGAGGCUGCUCGGCUUGUGGCAUAUGUUGCCUUGGUUGGCUCGGCUUGUGGCGUUGAAGGUGAGGGAGUCCUUUUUAUAGAAUAAUGGUUCGCUCCUCAAUACAUAAGUGAUGGGCUAAGAGUUGAUGUUCGCGGCGAGGUGGUUGCUCAGUUGGCGGCGAUGCUCUUCUAAUGAUGGUAAGGGAGUCCCUUUUAUAAAAUAAGGGCUCGCUCCUCAGUACAUAAAUGAUGAGUUAGGAGUGAUGUUCGCGGCGAGGCGGUUGCUCAACUGGCGGCUAUGCCCUCUAACAAAGGUAAGGGAGUCCAUUUUAUAAAAUAAGGGCUCGUUCCUCAAUACAUAAGUGAUGGGCUAAGUCCCCUAAAUAUUUUUCAUGAGUGCUCUCUAAUGAAAGUGAGGGAGUCCCCCGAGUAUUUUUCAUGAGGCCCAGUUGAGGCCCAAUAUAUGGUACAUAAUGUAGUCCCCCAAGUCUUCGAUCAAUAGAGUCUGUUGGCUGGAGACUUCAAAUUGAAUCCAUGUAUGGGCCGAAGUGGUGGUUGUUCGGAGGUGGUAUUUGUAUACCCUGCACUGAAGCUUUGUAAGUGACAUUUUGCAAGUGAAGCUUUGAAGCUGGAGCUCUGUAAAUGAAGCUUUUGUAAAUGGAGCUUUUGAAGCUAGAUCUCUGUAAAUGAAGCUUUUGAAGCUGAUUGACUUGAGUGAUGCUCAUGAAUGUUUAUGUUGAUUGACAUGAGUAAUGCUCAUGGAUGUUGACAUGAGUGAUGCUCAUGGAUGUUUAUGUAUGAUUGGAUGAGUGAUGCACAUUAAUGUUUAUGUAUGAUUGAUAUGAGUAAUGCUCAUGAAUGUUUAUGUAUGAUUGACAUGAGUAAUGCUCAUGUAUGAUUUGAAGUACUGGGCGUACUUUUGAUCACCUGGUUGGUAGCAUGAAGGAGAGUACGGGUUGUACAUUUCAUCACCUGGUUGGUGGCAUGAAUGACUAGUUGCCAAAUGAUAUUAGAGUAUGGGUUGUACAUUUCAUCACCUGGUUGGUGGCAUGAAUGGCUAGUUGCCAAAUGAUAUUAGAGUACGAGUUGUACAUUUCAUCACCUGGUUGGUAGUAAUAGCGGCAGGUUGCCGAAUAAUUUUUGGAGUACUGGGCAUACUUUUGGUCACCUGGUUGGUGAUAAUAACGGUUGGUUGCUGAAUAAUUUUGGAAGUACUGGGCGUACUUUUGAUCACCUGGUUGAUGAUAAUAGCGGCGGGUUGCCGAAUAAUUUUAGAAGUACUGGGCGUACUUUUGAUUACUUGGUUAGUGAUAAUAGAAGGUCUGGCUCUUUUGGGCAUAUGGGCCUUCGCCCUCCACAUAACAUUCCAGCCCAUUACUUUGGGCUUUGCCUUUUUUUUAUUUUAUUUUAUUUUUAUUAUUACCUUCUGAUAGGGUUUAUACAGAUAUUUUCGAAAGAUACGAAAAAUAAAUUACAUCAUACAAAAACAAGAAAAGUAAACUACAUCAUUCUGGUGGGGUGUUUAUUCCUUGCUUUUGCCUGUGUUUUUUUUUUUUUUUGCUGCACUCUCUCUGUCUAUUCAUCUGGCAAACAGAAGGAAUCAUAAUAAUACGAAGAUUUUUUUUUCUUCUUUUCUCUAUAUUGCGUCUCUGUCUUUUGCUUUUGUGCCGCAGCUCACUUGAUUGUUUUUCUUUCUGCUUUCUUCUUUUUCUUUUCUUUCUCUUUUCCAUUUCCUGCAUGUACCACCCACUUGCUUUCUUUUGCUUUUCUCUAAAGUGAAAAAUGCUUGACAAUUGAUAUUUCAGUGGUAAUAAUUGCAGCCAAAGUGAUAGCUGCAUCCCCUUCUCCACAUGUUUCCUGCUCCUCUCGCCGCUGAUCUGCAGAACCCUCCAUCAUCCAUCUCCAUUUUCACCUCCUCCUUUUUGAUCAUGUGCCAUGACCAUCUCCGUCAAAUGGAGAAUAGAAAACUUAUGUGCCAUGACCAUCUCCGUUAAAUAGAGAAGCGUAGUCCAGAGAAGCCAAAGAGAUAUAGGGGACGUUGGCGACGGCGGAGCUAAUGGCGUCGAGCUCGUCACGUGAGCUGCAGCAGACCACCAUAGGCAACCCCGGACGUCGACCUGCCAUGCCCAAUAAGUCCAUUAAAGUCUCUAUUUUGAACUGGUGUCUGUCGACAGCAAGGUAGAAGUGGCGCUGCGGGUUGAAAUGGGAAGAAGGGGAGUAAAACAGAGGAGACGGGGUUUCCAAAAGCUGCAUCCAUCACCAUGGUCGAGGAGUUGGAGAAUCUGCCGAAGGACUUGGCGACGGUGAUCUAGGCUACGUCCAAGGAUAUAAGAUUGAAGAACAGAUUCUGAUGCAUAAAAUCAAGCUUCGUCGAUCCGACCCGAGAGGUCGUCGAUUUGACCCGAGAAAAAAGGUAGGCCAUGGUGGACAGAUUCUGAUGAUGCGGUCCAAGUUGAUUCUGAACUCCAGGAUUGGUGGACAGAGCUUCGCAAUGUAGGCCAUGGUGACAAGAAGAAUGAACCAUGGUGGCUUGGUUAACCACCCAACUGUAAGCCGACGCUUCAUGCCUGACGUAGACACGGUGGAGGAGGUCCCCAACAGCCUCAUCAACGCCCUCUCCAAGUCCUUACCUCUGGGGUCUUCGUCCAGCUCGUACACAGUGGGGUUGAUGCCCAUGCCGCAGAAGAGGGGCUUGGCGGCAUGGCACAUGCAGUAGCUGCUUAUACUGAAACUACUGUUGGAAAUGUGCCCUAAAACCAAUCAUAUGAUGAUACUUUACGGACAUUUCACGAAGUUAAACUAAUGUAGUUUAAAUAUAAAGGGCAAAGAUUAUUGUUUGAGCCGUCUCAUAUAAAUGUUAUAUGCUUAAACGAUAAGUCCAAGGAAUAUGUGAUUGGGAGAAUGCAAUCUAAAAAAGUUAGAUUCAUGAGACCAUUCUUUCGUAAACACAUCCUAAACGUUUCUGAUCAUAGGAUUGCCAAUUGGGCAUUGACAGUCCGUUAAGAUCAGUACGUGAUGUGUCUUCUCUCAGGGAGAGUAACUAGUCUCGAGUCAUUGGUGUGUGUGACAUCAAGACAAGUACGUAGGUGCUCAAUAGAGAAUGAGUUCACUGAACACGAUCAAUGAAGAGUUCUCAUAUUCAUGUCACAUGAGAACUCAUGGUUGGAAUAAUGUAAAGUAGUUCUUUGACCUGAGGCAUCAUAGCUGUCUUGUGGUUAAGUCCUUGAUCUUUGAUUAUGUCAAAGUCACUCCAUCAGGAGGGUGUCCACGGCAUAGUUGGGGUUAAGCCACUUAGCUAUGGAGGCAAGUGAAUGCGCAACAAGGGAUCUCUAACCUUCAAACCGUUUGAGGGAGAAUACUCUAUGAUAUGAUUAAGAAUCUCUGAUCAGAGUAUGAAUGAGAUUUAGGAAGUCGUUCCAAAUCACAUUCAAGGUAAUCAUAUAAGCACACGAAUCACAUUCGAUAGUAGACAUGAAUAAACUAUCAAACCAAACAAUGUGGUCAAGAGUAUUGUAUUAGAGAAAGACCGUAUUGCAUUUGUAAUCCUAAACUGAAUAGGUUCUCCACCUCUUUUGAUUAGCUUGGGUAACCAUGAUAUGCUGCUAGGUGUCACUCAUGGUUUGUGGAAGCCCUAAACGUGUAUAAUCACUAAAGGGAGAAUUGAAAGUAAGUUUUAAUUCACAAUCGAUUUGAAAGAGUUCUAAUCGCCCACUGCCUCGCUAAAAGGAACCUAAUGGAUCGUACACCGUGUAAGGUAAAGAUUGAAGAAACAACGGAGAUGAGUAAGAAUAAUUAAAUGGUUUAAUUAUUUAUGGCAAGGAUUAAUUAAUAUGUUAAUUAAUCAAACGAAUAAGUUCGUUAAAGACCUCGGGAUAGUUUUGGACCUUAAGGCCCAAUGGGCUUCGAACGUCAAGUCCAUUGACUUAAGUUGUAUGACAACUUAAUGAAUAAUGAUUCACAAAGGCCCAAAUAGUCCAAUGAAUCCCUAUGGCCGGCCAUUUAGAGAUGGAGUGGGUUUUGGACUUAUUUACAAGUUUGCCACUCCAAUGAAUUAAGGUAUAAAUAUGACUUUAUAGCCAAAAUUCAUUUAGGGUUUCUUUUGGAGAAAGGAUGAGAACACAAAGCUCUCUUUUCUCUCUAAAGAGGCCGGCCACCCUAGAGGAAAUUAACUAGCAAUCUUGCUUCCUCUAGGUCACUCAUUUCUUCAUCAAUCCAUCCUUGGUGUGGAGACUUAGAGGUUCUCAAUUUUGGGAACUUGGAGAAACCUAUUUCAUCCAUCCAAAUCCAUAGAUCUAAGAUGCAAGGAAUGAAGGCCCUCUCUUUGGGUGAUUAGCCUUUGCUUAUGCAAAGAGGAAUCUACAAAGAUAUAAUUUGUCAACUCACUUUGAUUUGAGUUGAGUCUUGGUUCACCAAUCUACUAGGCUUUCAAUUUCAUGGUUAAUGUUUUGUUUUUAAGCGCAUGCAAGCAUGAUUCCGCCUUUUAAUUGUUAAUAGCAUGCUAUACAUGUUGCUUAAAUGAACAUGUUUUUACAAAUAUUUCCUUCAACUACCGCUUCUUCUUGCAGGGCUGCCAAACCUAAGACUUCGUCACUCUCAUUCCUCCCAACUUCUGAACGCCAUGUGGGAUUGAGCUGCCGAGGAGUUUCGAGUAGCAGGUUGAGCAUUUUGACUGAGCUGCCGAGGAGUUUCGAGUAGUAGGUUGAGCAUUUUGGCAGAACGACCCAAAUCGUUGCAGUAGCACAACGCGCCACAUGUUGAAGAUCCCACGACCCAGCUGUCUCUCUGAGCUGUUUUUUUUUUACUGGUUUUCUCGGCUACCAAACAUUGACUAGAAAUAGAGUUUGAUUUGUUGUUUUUUGGGUUCUUUUUCUCUAGGAAAGCUUGAGUUGUUGGGUUUUUGCAGAUUUUGCAGAUUCACGGUGGAGGUGAAAAAAUGAAAGAGAACCGACAUAGUUUUUUGUGUUGUUUCCCACAGACGGCGCCAAAUGUUGAUGCACAAAACCGGAGGUCUUGGAACAACGUAAAUCCGACCGUGAAUCUGCAUGAAAUGUAAAUAACACAAGAUGUAUCAUGGUUCACCCCAAUGUUUGGGCUACGUCCACACUGAUUAUGUAUUUAUCUAAGGGAGAGAGAGCUCUGAGAGUGAGAGCUUUGAGAGGGGGUGAGAGGGCCUAGGAAUUGGCCUCCCCUAUUGUAAGGGUGAGGGGUCAUUUUAUAGAAUAAGGACUCCUCACUUAUUACAUAUUUGCCCCUUCCUUUAUCACAUAAUUAUAUUUAAGUCUCCCUAGUAUUUGUACGAGAUCCAAAGAGGAUUAAAGGAUUGAUGGGUCCUCCCUCAUAAAGCCUUUCCUUCUCACUCCCCUCUCAUUUCUCUCUUAACAAACUCUGAAACUAGGAUGGUGCUGAUGACGUGAAAGCUUUGCUGGGAAUUUGGGAAGCGUGGAAUAUGGAAACUAAUCUUAUCCCAAGUUAAAGUUCCCAAAACCCAAUAAUAUGACCGAUUCGAACUUUUUAACUUCUGGCGCUUUUCGUUUGCUCAAAGGGCCUCGUAUUUAGAUCUCAUACAAAUAUUCGGGGGACUUAAAUGUAAUUAUGUGAUAAAGGAAUAGGCAAAUAUGUAAUAAGUGAUGAGUCCUUAUUCUAUAAAAUGACCCCUCACAUUCACAAUAGAGGAGGCCAAUUCCUAGGCCCUCUCACCCCCUAUCAAAGCUCUCACUCUCAAAGCUCUCUCUCCCUUAGAUAAAUACAUAAUUAGUGUGGACGUAGCCCAAACCUUGGGGUGAACCACAAUACAUCUUGUGUUAUUUACAUUUCAUGCAGAUUCACGGUCGGAUUUACAUUGUUCCAAGACCUCCGGUUUUGUGCAUCAACAUGACCGUUGGGCCCUUUUUGGGGGGGGGGGGAACAUGGACCGUUGAUAUGUGAUCGGACGGUUCAAUUUAAAAGUAAAAUUUAAAUUUUUUUAACUGUUGGAAAUCUAACGGUCUAGAAAAACUAGCCGUUGGAAAUCCAACGGCUCUGAGCAUGCCACGUCGUUGGCUGCAUCUAAGGCACAAGUGGGUUGACAACGCCUGCCCCCUUGUCCCCUACUUGCGGCCACGCGUGAGUGCUGUGCAUGCACCAGCCAAAUAGGUCGGCUCUUAGGUCUGUAAAAAAUGGGCUGGUCUGUUGCCUAGCUUGGGCUAGGUGCCAUGCAACUUUGUAGGCUGGACUAAAUGGACUGACCCUCAGCUUGAUAUUUAGACUAGGUGCUGGGCAAUGUUGGCUCCGGUGGACUUGCUCUUAAGAUCUUGGGUUACAUUGGUUUUUGCAUUUGAAUACUCCUCUUCGAAAUUGCUUAUAUAAAAGAAAAUUAGAGUUUGUUUGGAGUCUUGAAAAACUGUUGUUCAUUUUAUGGAACCAAAACCAUUGUAAAAUCCUUUUGGUAUGUUGUUUUAAAAGAAUAAAUAAUGAAAAACAGAAAAUAUAAUAUUUAGCCUAGCUUGGGUACAACAUCAUAUUGGUUUUUUGUGUCUUUCAAGAAUGACUUCCAAAUAAAGUAGAAAACACAUGUAUAAGAUAAAAAUCAAAGUUUAAGGCAAGCCUGAUGGAGAAGCCAAACAAUAAUCGUCUGGCCCAGCUGACACACCCUGACCCGAAUCAGGGCAUGCUGGCCGUCACGUGAGGGUGAUGUAGCCAUGUGCACAGUGCGGAAGCAAUAAUGAUAAUAGAGAAUAUGAAUAAUUAAAAACUAAUUCAUAAGAGUACUAGCUAAGGUAAGUGCUAGAAAAUGUGUGAAUACACAAUCAGAGCAUAAGUAGCCUAAGUUUAGUCCAGAAAACAAGCACUAAUUAAACGACACCUAAAGAAGCCCUACAUUUGUGAUAGUUUGUCAGAACCUCCAGUCAAUCCUCGUGAGCCACCAACGAACAAGCUUAUCUAAAACCUGGAGGGGCGCAAAACAGAAAGUGUGAGUGGGCAAAAACAAAGCUUUUCAAAACCAUUUCAUUAUCAAAUACUCUAACCCCUCGCCGUAAAACAUGUAUAAUUUUCCCAGAAAUGGAAUAUAAAUAUAUAAGUAUAUAUACACAUAUAUUUCAAUUCAUGCUUCACAUACCCAUUUUCAUAAGUAUGCCAUGCCAAAAUAUGAAACAGAAUAAGUAACUCAGGUGAUAAUAAAUUCAUGGAAAAAUAACAUAUUAGCCGGAACCCUUGCAGAAGUCUAUACGGCUGAAUUAAUAGCCCAUUAGUCAAUCUAGCCAGAGUUACUGCAAGUGACCUAUACGGCACUACAUUACACACGAGUCGGAACCACUGUAAAGGUUUGUACGACAAGACUGGGUGUAAUAUAAUUAUGCUCAAUGCUACGCUCUCAUGAUAGCUGUGCGAUAAAUUGCUAGUCACCUACGAGUCGGAACCACCUAUGAUGGUCUGUACGACAAGACUGUGCACCUAAAUUGGAUCCAAUGUGAGCAUAUGGUGCGGGAUGUGACAUUAUAUACAGGCCUGUGCUAUAUCUCUGACUAAAUCACUAACACCGGGGUGCAGGUUUAUGAGUUCGAUGUUUCUCAAUUAAUCACAACCGUUAUUCAUAUUCACAAUUCAUAAACUCACCUGGGGCUUACCUGAGCGUCCACAUCACCACAAUUAUAUAUAUAUAUAUAUAUAUGCAAACAUCAUAUGCAUAUUCUAAAUGUAAAACAUUUGGCAUGGCAAUUUAAGUCAUAACUCAUUUAAAUGCAUUUUUUGGGAAAGAUACCAAGCAUAUACAUAUAUAUUUAAAACUAAAAGCUCACUCACUGGUAUGUCGAAGGGUUGUAACCCCCGAGUCGGCCUUGACUGUGCUCGGCCUCGGGAUAAGUCUCCCCUAUAUGCGAAACAACUAUAAAAACGUUAAUUUAAAGCACAUAACCAAUACUGGUUAAUAAUUUCUCAUACAUUGCUCAAAUGAGGUGUUUAAAUAUAUCAACGUGAUCUACACAACCUCAGGAACAGGCCCAAAUUUUUAAAAUAAUUUUUGGAGCCCUCACGCACCGGCAAGGGCAUGGCCCUACUCGCCCCCACGCGCGGGCAAACCUUAACUGAGGCCUAACAGCCGUUAGGAAUAUUCUGUUAAAUUUAAGGAAUAUUCCAUCACCGUUAGUUGCCAUUAGGAAUAUUCCGUCAUCACCUACAUUUGAACUCCGGUGACCAUCGCCGUCGUCGAAAAUUGAAAAAUCUAAAAAUUCUUUUAACUUCUUCAUUUUGCACCAAAAUUCAUGAAACUUAAACCAAAUUGAAGCUUACAAUGAGUAGAACACAUUCUUACCAAUUUCAAGCUCUAAAAAUCACGGGAUCUCACUAGAGAAGGCACGAUAAUUCCAGCCAACUUUCAAACUCGACUUCCCGACGUCCAAUUUGCUUGGUUUUUCUUCUCCGAGCUUCGUGAGAAUGUCCUAAAGCUUCCUAUGAGCUUAAAAUCCCCUAAACAUCCAUAAUUACGACUGCAUGAACAAUACUCAAAUAUGGGGUGAUGGUUUCUCGGGGUUUUGAGGGUUUCACGAUCUAAAAAUGGCAUACAUGAACUCAGAGACUUGCAAGGAGUUCGAAUCUUACCUUCUUAACGUCGAUCCGUGCGUGAAAUGUGAGUUUGGUGUUCGUCCGUACGUUUUGUACGGAAAUGGUAGGAAGGCCGAGAUAAUGAGAGAGAGAGAGAGAGAGAGAGUGCAUGGGGUUGUUUUUGUGUGUGUGUGUGUCUUCACUUGAUCAUCAACCAAAACAAACAAAAGUUUAACUUUUAAUUGAGUCCAAAACUUAGGAUUUUAACAUAUUGGUCUACAUCCCAAAAACAUGUCACACACAUCACAAUCUCAAUGUUCAAGGAUAAAAUCGUCAUUUCAUACCGUCGAAACUAAAUAUUUCAGGAUUGGCUAUAACACUAACGACCUGUCUAUGUGAUGCAUGGUUGACAUCAUCAUGACGUCAACCACAAUUUAAAUUACUAAAAACUAAUUAAAAAAUAAAAAUUAUAUAUUUUUCUAUAAAUACCUAACCAUGUUAUUUUAGUUUACACUACAUUUUAGGAAUGAGUUCGGUUUUGAAAACGGUUCGCUUUUUUGUAAAAAUUGAACCGAACCAAAAUUUCAGUUCAGUUCAAAUUUUUUUUGGUUUUUUUUGGUUCGAUUUUUUUCGGUUCCGGUUAUUUUCGGUUCGAUAUUUUUCCCUUUUUUUUAUAUAUAUUAAAUUUGGAGCAUGAAGCAAGCAUGCUUCCUGCCUUGAACAGAAAUCAACCUGCAACUCUGCAACAUGGUUUGGAAGAACAGCGAGAGAAUCCAAGUAUAAAAUAAAAUAAAAGAAAAAAAAUAAAAUAAAGAGAAUUAACAGAGGCGGAUGAGCAUGAGUCGAAAUCGUAAGAGAUCCAUCUCGACAUGAUUCACACGCCGUAAAAAUAUUAUUAUUAUUAUUUAAGUUUUCAGUUUGGACCCUACCCUGAAAUCCUCCGCAUAUAAACCCAGCUGUUCGCCAUUUUUUCUUCCUCUGUUUACUCAGUUCGGUCAGGCUCGCCGCCAAUGGUGACGGAAGACAAUAGCGAGAGUUGCGGGAGUAGAGCGCUGGGAGAGAUCGGAAGGAGCGGAGGGAAAUUCAUGGUUUGGAAGAAGGAAUCUGCGACCGCGAGGAUAGGAGAAGACGGGAGAGUGUGAUUUGGAGGAAGAGAGGAAGGAAAGAGAGAGACUGAGGAAGCAGAGAGGAUGAAAGCAGCGGAUUGGAGAGAGAGCGAGAGAGAUUUUGAGAAAAGCAAGAGAAAACUAAAAUGGGAGUGACGGCUAGGGUUAGUAGACUUUAAAAAUUUAUAAAGCAUUAAAGAUUAGAAUACCUAUAAAUAUAUUACUCGAGCAACUGAAGGCCCACAAUCGGGUUGGCUUGAAGCAAUAUUCCCAACCUGGAGGAAAGGGGUUCGAAUCCUCAUGCCAUUGGGAAUUUACAUAUGAUUUUCAUAAAUCAAAUCGGUUCGGUUUGGUUUGGUUUUCAGAUCUUAAAAAUCGAAAUAUAGAACCAACAAAAUUUGGUUCGGUUCGGUUUGAUAGUUGCGGUUUCAUUUUUUUAGGUCUUGGUUCGGGUUUCAAUCCGAUUUUUUUCGAUUUUCGGUUUUUCCAACCCAUCCCUACUACAUUUCAAUAUUUUCAAACAUUUUUAACCAAUUUUUAAUUAUUAUCUAAAAAUAAAAAUAUAAGUUGUUUUUUCAUUAUUUUAUAAAAUAAAAUAAUAUACUAAUAUUUUAAUACGAAUUAUUUGACUAUUCACUUUAUGAGUGGAAAUGCACUUCGACAUUUACCAUUCAUUAUGGACCGUUACUGUUUAUUUAAAGAAAUUGAGUUGCCUAUUGAUGUGGAUGAGGCCUUAUUACACUGGAAGUUAGAUUUAUCUUUAUUUACUAGAUUUGAAAGAUGAAGGAACUUACUGCUGGUUUGGAAGCGAGACUUGUGGUUAAAGGAGGUUGGAAUGCCUAGUCUUCUGUGUAAUCGUGACUUGCUAUUAGUUAUCUUUUUUUUUUUUUUUUUUUUUAAGGGGGGGGUGGGGGGAAGGAUGAAGGAACAGGUCAUCGCGUGCUCCACUCCAGAGAGUAGUGAAUUACUUCGCUGUGUCGGCGGAUAACUCAACAGGUAAUUCCAUUUCCACCAGGAGUUGAGGACCAAAGUCAUCAAAUUUCUGCUCGAAUAGAAUGCCACUGAUUUGUCACCACCUUUCCUCUUCUUCCUCUUCUUCCUAAUUAUAUAUAAUCUCCUCCUAAAUUCUCUCCCACUCACUCUCUCUCUCUCUAGCUUCCGCAGAUUCUCUCACUACUCUCUAGCACUCACUACCACUGUGGGGGAUGCAGAGCGAGAGAGAAGUUCAAAUACAAUAAACCCACUUGAGAACUCUCUCACACAGCUUUCUCACCAAUUUUCAGGUAACCAAUUUGAUCUGUGCUUGCACUUGCUUUUUCUGGGGGUCUCUGGAAAAACAGUGCAUCUGUUUUUGGCUUAAAAGUUUUCAGAUUUAAAUUUCGUUGUUUGUUCUUCUUGCAUUCAUAUCCAAAGUUGUUUUCUUUUUUUUGGGUAAGAUCCAAAGUUUUGUUUGAGGUGAAAAGGAUUCAAAAUUUAAAGAUCCAAAGGGUGAGCUCCAUUUGAGGAAAUAGGUUUAAUGAUGAUGAUAAAAUUUGUUAACUGAUGGAAAUUUAAUCCUAUGACAUACUUAGAAGCAGCAAUGUCUUUAAGUUUAAAUUAACUGGUGGAACAUGAUAUGGGUUUGAUCCCACUUAUUCGUCACUCCAUUUAAUCCUAUUGUGAUUGCAAAAUGCAAACUCACACUCUUUUCAGCAAAUCUAGUUACUGCUGAUUUCUGCAAGUCCUUAACUAGUUAACCAUAACAAUGUAUGCACAGUUGCCUUUAGAAACGUACCGUAUUUGGGAAUCCAUCCCCGUUCUCAUGUCUCAAACUUUGUACAGUGGUGCCAUCUGGAUUUCUUUUACUAUCAUCCAGGAUGUUUUAUGUUAAUUAAGUACUUCUUGGUUCGUAUGUGAAGAUACACACACACACAUAUAUAUGUAUAUACUUGGAAUUUGUAUUUUCAAGAUUGGCUAAAUGUAGAAUGAGCAACAAGUUAUCGUUGUGUAGGUUAUUUAUACCAGAAGCCUUUCGAAUUGAAAGCCUGAUGCAUAUUGACUACAACUUUAGCUAGAGAAAAUUAACAGUACUUACUUUGGAACAAAUAGUCGAGUUAUUCUUUUUAAAUUUUAAUAGGCAUGCGUAUUAUAUUCUUCGAUAAAUAGCUGUCUACUUAAUACUGUUCAUGAAUUUGCCCUUCAUUACAUUUUGGUAGGGCUUGGCUUCAUCUUGUCAACCAUUGAUCAUUUACUUCAAAUACCUGCCUCUCAAUUUUCUAUUAAUUGUGCAGGUUUGAGGGAGUUAUUGCAAGAAUAUCAUGGGCCCCAAGCAUAAUUCUUCAGGAAACAGAACAAGAAGCACAUUAUCUAUAUUUGUUGUGAUUUCUCUUUGUUGUUUCUUCUACCUUCUUGGAGCAUGGCAAAAGAGCGGUUUUGGAAAAGGUGAUAAGAUAGCAUUUCAAGUUACCAAACAGAAAGAUUGCAAUGUCUUUGCUGAGUUGAACUCUGAUUUGAACUUUGAAACUCAUCACAAUGUCGUGGAGAUAGUUGAACCUUCUGAACCUAAAGCCAAAGAGUUCAAACCUUGUCAUGUGAAAUAUGCUGAUUAUACCCCUUGUCAAGAGCAAGACCGAGCAAUGAAAUUCCCCAGGGAAAAUAUGAUAUACAGGGAAAGACAUUGUCCACCAGAAGAGGAAAAAUUGCAUUGUCUUAUUCCAGCACGGGAAGGGUAUAUGACUCCAUUCCCCUGGCCUAAAGGCCGUGACUAUGUCCACUAUGGAAAUGUACCUUAUAAAAGCCUCACAGUUGAGAAAGCUGUACAGAACUGGGUGCAAUUUCAGGGAAAUGUUUUCAAAUUUCCAGGUGGAGGAACAAUGUUCCCCCAAGGCGCAGAUGCAUAUAUUGAUGAACUUGCAUCAGUUAUUCCGAUUGCAGAUGGCUCUGUCAGGACAGCAUUGGAUACCGGUUGUGGAGUAUGCUUGUUUUCUAAACUAUUUAUGUGCUUUUAUUAUUGCAUAUGCAUGUCUACAUUAAUUUCUCCACUCUGCGAUUCUAUCAUUUGCAUUCAGUUUGAGCUUUUUACCUUCCUCCAGUCAAUCCAAGACUGACAAGAGCAUUAGCUUUUCACCCUCCAGAGAAUAUUGAAGAACCUGUCACUUCCGACCAACCUGUCAUUUAAAAAAGCACUAUGCAUAUACUGACUGCAAAUGCACAUUCAAUCAGUGCCUAUAUACUUGUGACUAGAUGAUUUAUGUGCAUGAGCAGUGAUCUAUAAUCGUGUACAUGUUCACAGAGAGUCAGUUCAUUCAUUUGGUUGUGGUUCCGUACUAAUGAGGCCAAGCAUAACCCAGGUUGCAAGUUGGGGUGCAUACUUAUUGAAGAGAAAUGUAUUAGCCAUGUCCUUUGCACCGCGGGACAAUCAUGAAGCCCAAGUGCAGUUUGCAUUGGAGCGAGGAGUACCUGCUGUUAUCGGUGUGCUUGGAUCGAUUCGUCUUCCAUACCCAGCUAGGGCCUUUGAUAUGGCCCAGUGCUCUCGGUGUUUAAUUCCAUGGACUGCAAAUGGUAAGAUCUUGGAGUAACCAACAUUAAGCUUGAGCAAUCACAUUUGAUAUCUUUUGUUUUGUAUUAUAUACUGAUAAAAUAUAGUUGAAAUUACAAACUCUAAAUAAGAUAUAAAAAGUAGAAAAACAUAUCUAAAUUGCUAAACAUUUAUACUUGAUUUCUAUUUGUAUAAGCAAUUACUGAUUUGCAAAGUUAACCAUUUUCCUGAAACUCUUACAUGUCUGGCAGUUAAUUUAGUUACCAACCCUGCUAAUUUCCCUUUCCCAAUUCUCUUGUUUGAUAAUGAAUUCCCCCCAGUUGACUUCUAUAUAAAAGAGGGAUUCUUGUUGGAGUUCCAUCUUCUACUUUGUUUUCCAUGUUUUAACAUGCAAGAAUAGUUUAUUUACUGAAUAUGGUGAAAUUUUAUGAUUCAAAUAUGAAUGCCUUCGUGUAGAUGGAAUGUACCUAAAAGAAGUUGAUAGGGUCCUUAGACCUGGUGGAUACUGGAUAUUGUCUGGACCUCCAAUUAAUUGGAAGACCUACUACAAAACGUGGAAGCGGUCUAAGGAGGACGUGCAGGCAGAGCAAAAACAGAUUGAAGCACUAGCUGAAAGUCUUUGCUGGGAGAAAAAGUAUGAGAAAGGAGAUAUGGCUAUCUGGAAGAAAAAAGUUAAUACAAAAUCCUGCAGGAGAAAGUCUGUCGAUGUAUGCCAGACAGAGGAUACUGAUGAUGUCUGGUGAGUCUCCAGGCACUAUGGUUGCUUGUGAUAUUACUUUGGUAUUUAAUAACCCAUUUUUUUAGCCUUGUUUAGUUGUUUUAAACCUACCCUAAUCAUGUAUAUAGAUAAUCUAUAGUCAUCGAUAUGUAAACCUCCCACUAAAUUUGAGGUUUGGUCGAUCUUUCUGAAGUGGUACAGAAUCAGUUAGGGGAAAGAGCCCCAUGCCUUUGCAGCAGAUGACAGGAUAGCGCAAGAAAAACAUUUUUGAAAAUCUCAAAUUGUAUGAUAUUGGGUAACUUUCGUCCAGCAAUUUGGUUUACUUAUCUAGGAAAAUGCUAAAUAUAACACAAGUUUUACAAGCAGAAGUAGUUGAAUUGGCAUGCUGCAUAUCCCACAUUCCCAAUCCUAUGUACGGGUGCUCUACUGCUACACAUGUUUGCAUUGUUUAGUCUGCUUGUUCAGUAUUAGACUUUUAGCCAAAAUUCAUUGAUAUAAGCGAAAUGAUUGUAUAACUUAACAUUCCAUUCGUUAAAGUGAACAUUUUUCUCUUUUUUACUUUGUUACAGCCAUCCUAAUUGUUACUUUUAUGUGGUCUGUUCCAGGUACAAGAAAAUGGACACAUGUGUAACCCCUUCUCCUGACGUAACCAAUGCAAAUGAAGUAGCUGUAGGGGAGUUGAAGUUUCCUGCAAGGCUUUAUGCAGUCCCUCCUCGAAUAGCUAAUGGUUUAGUUGUGGGGGUUACAACCAAAUCUUACCAAGAGGACAAUAAACUUUGGAAAAAGCAUGUAAAUGUUUACAAAAGAAUCAACAGAUUGAUUGGCACUACAAGAUAUCGGAAUGUGAUGGAUAUGAAUGCAUGCCUUGGAGGAUUUGCAGCAGCCCUUGAAUCACGAAAAUUGUGGGUUAUGAAUGUUGUGCCUACAAUUGCAAAGAAUACUUUAGGUGUUAUUUAUGAGAGAGGUCUAAUCGGCAUAUAUCAUGACUGGUAUGUCCUUGAUAAUCCUCUCUCUCUCUCUCUCUCUCUCUCUCUCUCUCUCUCUCUCUCUCUCUCUCUCUCUCUCUCUCUCUCUCACACACACACACACACACCCACACACACUAACACAAACACAAGCACAUCAGUGUUUACCGAAGUGUAUGAGUGUCCUUCAGGACUCGGUAACCUUUAUGCUUUUCCUAUGAAGAUUUUCAGUUUUUUCGUCGAUUAUAAUUUACAGUGCUGAGACCUAGGUAGCAAAUACAUAUUUUCUAGUUACUAGUCCAUGUCAUGACCAGAAAAAGAAACUUGUUUCAGGUGUGAAGGCUUUUCUACGUACCCAAGGUCAUAUGACCUUAUUCAUGCUAGCGGUGUGUUCAGCUUGUACAAGAACGAGUAAGCCUCAUCAUCUUCUUCCUGUGUAUCUGUGUGCCUAUAUCAUACUUAGUGUUUGCACCAUUAGAUUAUUUUAUGAGAUAGCAAUAAAAUCAUGAGAUGCAAUAUCUUGUCGUUAAGAUUUCUAAAACCUUCAUAUUUUAGACCUCAUUUGUACAAAUGUGUAUAGUUUGGUAAACAUCAAGAUGGAACAAUCUUUGAUUCACUAAAUCCAAGAACUCUUUUAAGUAAUUUUCUCAAGGACUGUUUGAACAAUGGUGGAUUUUUAGUGAUAAAGUGAAAAUAUACUAAGCUAAGCAAUUACGGGCUUCCUUAAUGACAUAAAGUUUUUUCAUGCAUAAAUCUAAUCUAAUAGUAAUAACAAAAGUAAUGUAGUUUACCAAUUUUCUAAACUUACAGUAAUACAGUCACUCUUUUCUGUUUUAUUCUAAAUUGAGAUAAUUGGUCUUGAACUUCAGUCCCUGAAUUGAAAAUCCGUAAGUAGUGGUCCUUGUGUCACGGGAUGACUCUUUAAGCCUUCCGCCCGUGCGGCACUUAGACUUGAAUACCUCGAUGAACAAGCUAAGUAAGCCUUCGAAGCCUCGCUUCCCCGGAUCGAAUCACAAAGAAAGCUAAGAUAGCUUGGAGAAUGCUAAAAUCACUUAGAAGAUGGGAGAAAGGAAGCUUUGUAUUGAAAGUUAAGAGAACUUUACAAUUGCUUACAAUUCUUGGAUGGUUUGGCCAAAUGGCCUUACCUCCUAUUUAUAGGCCUAAGUCACCUCCUCAAUGGAGGGUUCUAGAAUCUCCUACUUACAUCCAAAAAUAUCUAGCAUAGUUCUAGAUACAACUUGCCUAAUCUAGAUUAUUCUAGGUGAGGCUUAAAUAUGUACACUUGUGUGGAAUGUUCCGGAAUGCCCUAGAUUAUCUUGAAUGCUCCGCCACGUUCUUGAUUUCUCCGGGACGUUCCAGAAGCUUCCAUGAAGACAUGGCUUCAUGGGCUUAGAUAUAUGAUGUCUUGGGCAUUUUCUUUGUUUUUAACAUGCGGCCCGUGACACUUGGAACUUGUCACAUAGUGGUUCAAUGGUGCUUUUCCGGUAACUCCUCCUUAAGAACUUCUGUCCCUUAUUUUCCAUUUACAACCUUUUUUCUAAAGGAAAACUAACGAAAAGUCCAAAAAAACUUCUCUUUUAACAAAAAGCCCUUUUUAAAGGUAUAGUGAAUAGUGACAGGUAAAGGUAAAAAUGUGGUUUUUCGUUAAAAGUGAACAGUACCGGGAGUGUUUUAUUAAAACUCUUUUUUUCUAACUCUACUAAUUAAUAAAAUACUCAUUGUCAACCAAAAUCAUAUGAAAUUAUUAGUUUAACCCUCUAAUUAAAACAAAACAUUAAUAAGAAAUAUGGGGUAGAAAUGUAAUUUUACGCAAUCAAAUUUUGCUGUUUUUUUUUUCAAAGUCUCACCCACAUAUAAUAUUAACAUAUCUCUAAUUACAACAACAACAACAAAUUCUUUACCCACUAAGUGGGGUCGGCUAUAUGAAUCCUAGAACGCCAUUGCGCUCGGUUUUGUGUCAUGUCCUCCGUUAGAUCCAAGUACUCUAAGCCUUUUCUUAGAAUCUCUUCCAAAAUUUUCCUAGGUCUUCCUCUACCCCUUCGGCCCUGAACCUGUCCCGUAGUCACAUCUUCGAACCGGAGCGUCAGUCGGCCUUCUUUGCACAUGUCCAAAUCACCGGAACCGAUUUUCUCUCAUCUUUCCUUCAAUUUCGGCUACUCCUACUUUACCUCGGAUAUCCUCAUUCUCAAUCUUAUCCUUUCUCGUGUGCCCACACAUCCCACGAAGCAUCCUCAUCUCUGCUACACCCAUUUUGUGUACGUGUUGAUGUUUCACCGCCCAACAUUCUGUGCCAUACAACAUCGCUGGCCUUAUUGCCGUCUUAUAAAAUUUUCCCCUGAGCUUCAGUGGCCUACGACGGUCACACAACAAUGCUGGAUGCACUCUUACACUUCAUCCAUCCAGCUCGUAUUAUAUGGUUGAGAUCUCCAUCUAAUUCUCCGUUCUCUUGUAAGAUAGAUCCUAGGUAGCGAAAACGGUCGCUUUUUGUGAUCUUCGCUAAAUUGCUCCGGUCAUUAGUGUGGAUAAGUAUAUAAAUGGAUAGAGAUAGGAAAGCAAACACAAGAUGUACGUGGUUCACCCAGAUUGGCUACGUCCACGGAAUAGAAGAGUUCUCAUUAAUUGUGAAGGGUUUACACAAGUACAUAGGUUCAAGCUCUCCUUUAGUGAGUACAAGUGAAUGAUUUAGUACAAAUGACAUUAGAGUACAAAUGACAUUAGGAAAUAUUAUGGGAGAAUGAUCUCGUAAUCACGAAACUUCUAAGUAUCGGAGUGUGGUAUCAUCUUGACUUGCCUUAUCUGUCUCAUAGGUAGAUGUGGCAGCUUCUCUGGAAGUACUCUUCCUCCAUCCAGGGGUGGUAUCUUUAACUGGUGGAGAUGCACAAGGUAAUGUAUCAAUUUCACUUGAAGCUUACUUGUAGUUUCAGGCUUGGUCAAGCGCGAUACAAACCAUGUAGUAGGAGUCCCCCAAGUCGCCGAGCUAGGGGAUUUGCUGAAAGAGGUGACAUACAAGGUAAGCAAUCAGAGCUCCGGCUGAUUGUUCACCUUCUCCCCAUCUUGCAGCAGCAUGAAGGAUAAAGAGAAGAAAAAUGAGAAGAGAUGAUAUGGGAUACUUUUGCUUUUGAAGAAGUAACUUUCCACAGGCUUAUUCUUGAACUGAGCUGGAGGGUUUUCUGGUUUCCUCCAGAGUAUAAGGCCGACUGAAGAAUUUGAGGGUCAAAACAAGUCCAUCAAAUCUAGAGUACGUUCGACCCUGCUGAUAUGGGAUACUUUUGCUUUUGACAGAGUAAUGGAUGGAUCGGCACGUGUGCUGUUAUGCUUGUCUCUACAUGCUUCCUUGUAUCCUUCGCACUUGCCCUAUCUGUUCCUCAAGCAGAUGCGGUAUCUUCCCUGGCAACAUAAGAUGUUGAAGAUGAGUACUCGAGAGUAAUGCCAGGUAAGUAAUCAGGUAAGGGGUUCCAGGCUGUCAGUUCCUGGCUGGGAGCUUGAUUUCAAGUGCUGACUGAUUGCUCUCUUUCUCCUUGUCUUGCAGGUAAAAACAAGGCCAAAGGAAAAGACAGGGAAAAAGCAUGAUAUGGGAUACUCUUGCUUUUAACCCUGAUGAUAUGAGAUAUUCUUGCUCUAGUAUAGCUUGUUUGCAAAGGUAUUAUCGGGGGGAAAGAAAGCUGAAUAUUUUGAAAGGCUUCGUUGGGAGUGCCCUCUCAGAUAUGAGGAAGGGUUGAGCAUUUUUUGCAGGUCUGCCUGUCCGUUGGGGAUGGAGGUCGACAUAUAUAGGAGUCUCCCUAACAACAAGUAGUAAUGCUAUUCCUUUACCCUGCUUGGUCAUAGCAUGGUAGUGGGAGCUGCCAGCUUCACAUGUUUUAACUCUGUCAGAGCACUUUGAAAAAGUGGUAUGUGGUAUCUGGCUCUCGAGAUUCGGAGAACGAUGCUUCUUCGAUUUUUGAGAAAGCAAUCAUGGUGGGGGUCUGGCUCUCGAGAUUCGGGGAGCAGUGUCUCUUCGAUUUUUGAGAAAGUAAUCAUGUUGGGAGUCUGGCUCUCGAGAUUCGGAAGGCGGUGCCUCUUCGAUUUUGGAGUAAGCAAUCUUGUUGGGAGUGUUUUCUCGGAUGUGAGUAAAGGUUGGGCAUGUUUGCUAGUCUACCUUGCCACGAAGCACGGAGGUUGACACACAGGGACUUUCCAAUUAUCCAGCAGUGGUACUGUUCCUUUACCCUUGUGGGUAAUAAUAUGGUAGCUAGACCUUCAAAAUUUAUGUGUCUAAACUUUGUUAGUGCUGUUUCUUUGCUAUUCUUUUACCUUUCUUGGUCAGAGCGAUGUAGUGGGAGUUGCAAGCUUCACGUGCUCAACUUUGGCAGAGACUUUGACAAAGUUAUCUGUGGUACCCAUGAGCUAUUGUUGCGUGUGGGAAGUGGGUGAUUGAACAGUAAGAUUCAUGUGCUUUCUACUUCACCAGAAGUCUUUGACAGAAUGCCCAUAAUUUCCGCAAAGCUAAGUGUGCGUGUGACAGGUGCUGACAAGGCUAGAAAAGAAGGUGCCUCUUCGAUUUCUGAGAUCGGCCCUCGUGGUCUCUGAGCAGCCCAACUUUUGAGAAAGCGAGCGCCUCUUCGAUUGAUUCGGAGAACGAUGCCUCUUCGAUUUUUGAGAAAGCAAUCAUGCUGGGGGUCUGGCUCUCGAGAUUCGGGGAGCAGUGUCUCUUCGAUUUUUGAGAAAGUAAUCAUGUUGGGAGUCUGGCUCUCGAGAUUCGGAGGGCGGUGCCUCUUCGAUUUUUGGAGCAAGCAAUCUUGUUGGGAGUGUUUUUUCUCGAAUGUGAGUAAAGGUUGGGCAUGUUUGCUAAUCUACCUUGCCACGAAGCACAGAGGUUGACACACAGGGACUUUCCAAUUAUCCAGCAAUGGUACUGUUCCUUUACCCUCUCUUCGAUUUUUGAGAAAGUAGUCAUGUUGGGAGUCUGGCUCUCGAGAUUCGGAGGACGGUGCCUCUUCGAUUUUGGAGCAAGCAAUCUUAUUGGGAGUGUUUUUCUCGAAUGUGAGUAAAGGUUGGGCAUGUUUGCUAGUCUACCUUGCCACGAGGCACAGAGGUUGACAUACAGGGACUUUCCAAUUAUCCAACAGUGGUACUGUUCCUUUACCCUUGUGGGUAAUAAUAUGGUAGCUAGACCUUCAAAAUUUAUGGGUCUAAACUUUGUUAGUGCUGUUUCUUUGCUAUUCUUUUACCCUUCUUGGUCAGAACGAUGUAGUGGGAGCUGCAAGCUUCACGUGCUCAACUUUGGCAGAGAACUUUGGCAAAGUUAUCUGUGGUACCCAUGAGCUAUUGCUGCGUGUGGGAAGUGGGUGAUUGGACAGUAAGAUUCAUGUGUUUUCUACUUCCCCAGAAGUCUUCGACAGAAUACCCAUAAUUUCCGCAAAGCUGAGUGUGCGUGUGACAGGUGCUGACAAGGCUGGGAAAGUAGGUGCCUCUUCGAUUUCUGAGAUCGGCCCUCGUGGUCUCUGAGGAGCCUAGCUUUUGAGGAAGCGAGCGCCUCUUCGAUUUCUGAGAUCGGCUUUCGUGGUCUUUGAGCAGCCAAACUUUUGAGAAAGCAAACACCUCUUCGAUUUAUGAGAUCAACCCUCGUGGUCUCUAAGCAGCCCAGCUUUUGAGAAAGCAAACGCCUCUUCGAUUUCUGAGCAGGCGCCUCUUCGAUGUCUGAAGCUCCGUCGAGUGCAGCUUUUUAUAGGGGCUGGCAUUAAGUUCCAAAGCACACUUGAAUCUCCACCAGUAGAAGCUCCAUUCUUGCACUUCUAAGAUCUUGAUUUGUCCGACCUCUUCUCUCUUCAAUACCUUUGAAAAUGUCUGGCCCCUCCGACCGUCGUUUUGACUUGAACCUUGUUGAAGAGGUAGCCCCGCCUUCUCCAGACAACAUAUGGCGCCCAUCCUUCGUCUCCCCUACUGGUCCUCUUACCGUUGGGGAUUCCGUGAUGAAGAAUGAUAUGACCGCUGCGGUGGUGGCCAAGAACCUUCUCACUCCCAAAGAUAACAGACUACUUUCCAAACGGUCUGAUGAGUUAGCUGUUAAGGAUUCACUGGCUCUCAGUGUUCAGUGUGCAGGUUCUGUGUCUAAUAUGGCCCAACGCCUAUUUGCUCGAACCCGUCAAGUUGAAUCAUUGGCGGCCGAAGUGAUGAGUCUCAAACAGGAGAUUAGAGGGCUCAAGCAUGAGAAUAAACAGUUGCACCGGCUCGCACAUGACUAUGCUACAAACAUGAAGAGGAAGCUUGACCAGAUGAAGGAAACUGAUGGUCAGGUUUUACUUGAUCAUCAGAGAUUUGUGGGUUUGUUCCAAAGGCAUUUAUUGCCUUCGUCUUCUGGGGCUGUACCGCGUAAUGAAGCUCCAAAUGAUCAACAUUUGAUGCCUCCUCCUUCUAGGGUUCUGUCCAGUACUGAGGCUCCGAAUGAUCCCCCUCCGAUGCCUUCUCUUUCUGGGGCUCUACCGACUGCUGAGACUUCUCCUAAGCAACCUUUGUGAAGGCUCCAUCUUGUUUGUUUAUUUUGACUCAUGUAUAUGUACAUAUUUGUAGCUUAUCGGGGAUAUCAAUAAAUAAGUUUUCCUUCAUUUCAACGUAUUGUGUUAAAUACACCAAAGCCUUCUUCGCUAAGUUCUUUGAAUUUUCUUUUGUUGAAGCUUGUAUGUUGAAGCUUUCUGAGUGGAGCAUGUAGGUUGGGAUAGUGUUCCCUUAAUUUUUCGAGUGAGGAAAACUUCUCGGUUGGAGACUUGGAAAAUCCAAGUCACUGAUUGGGAUCGGCUAUAUGAAUCUUAGAACGCCAUUGUGCUCGGUCCUGUGUCAUGUCCUUCGUUAGAUCCAAGUACUCUAAGUCUUUUCUUAGAGUCUCUUCCAAAGUUUUCCUAGGUCUUCCUCUACCCCUUCGGCCCUGAACCUCUGUCCCAUAGUCGCAUCUUCUAAUCGGAGCGUCAGUAGGCCUUCUUUGCACAUGUCCAAACCACCGUAACCGAUUUUCUCUCAUCUUUCCUUCAAUUUCGGCUACUCUUACUUUACCCCGGAUAUCCUCAUUCCUAAUCUUAUCCUUUCUCGUGUGCCCACACAUCCAACGAAGCAUCCUCAUCUCCGCUACACCCAUUUUGUGUACGUGUUGAUGCUUCACCGCCCAACAUUCUGUGCCAUACAGCAUCGCCGGCCUUAUUGCUGUCCUAUAAAAUUUUCCCUUGAGCUUCAGUGGCAUACGACGAUCACACAACACGCCGGAUGCACUCUUCCACUUCAUCCAUCCAGCUUGUAUUCUAUGGUUGAGAUCUCCAUCUAAUUCUCCGUUCUUUUGCAAGAUAGAUCCUAGGUAACGAAAACGGUCGCUCUUUGGUAUUUCUUGAUCUCCGAUCCUCACCCCUAACUCGUUUUGGCCUCCAUCUGCACUGAACUUGCACUCCAUAUAUUCUGUCUUUGAUCGGCUUAGGCGAAGACCUUUAGAUUCCAACACUUCUCUCCAAAGGUUAAGCUUUGCAUUUACCCCUUCCUGAGUUUCAUCUAUCAACACUAUAUCGUCUGCGAAAAGCAUACAUCAAGGAAUAUCAUCUUGAAUAUGUCCUGUUAACUCAUCCAUUACCAACGCAAAAAGGUAAGGACUUAAGGAUGAGCCUUGAUGUAAUCCUACAGUUAUGGGAAAGCUUUCGGUUUGUCCUUCAUGAGUUCUUACGGCAGUCUUUGCUCCUUCAUACAUAUCCUUUAUAGCUUGGAUAUAUGUUACUCGUACUCCUUUCUUCUCUAAGAUCCUCCAAAGAAUGUCUCUUGGGACCCUAUCAUACGCUUUUUUCCAAAUCUAUAAAGACCAUGUGUAAAUCCUUUUUUCCCAUCUCUAUAUCUUUCCAUCAAUCUUCGUAAGAGAUAGAUUGCCUCCAUGGUUGAGCGCCCUGGCAUGAACCCGAAUUGGUUGUCCGAAACCCGUGUCUCUUGCCUCAAUCUAUGCUCAAUGACUCUCUCCCAGAGCUUCAUUGUAUGACUCAUUAACUUAAUACCCCUAUAGUUCAUGCAAUUUUGUACGUCGCCCUUAUUCUUGUAGAUAGGCACCAAAGUGCUCGUUCGCCACUCAUUUGGCAUCUUCUUCGUUUUCAAAAUCCUAUUGAAAAGGUCAGUGAGCCAUGUUAUACCUGUCUCUCCCAAAACUUUCCACACUUCGAUUGGUAUAUCGUCUGGGCCUAUUGCUUUUCUAUGCUUCAUCUUCUUCAAAGCUACAACCACUUCUUCCUUCCGGAUUCGACGAUAAAAGGAGUAGUUUCUACACUCUUCUGAGUUACUCAACUCCCCUAAAGAAGCACUCCUUUCAUGUCCUUCAUUGAAAAGAUUAUGAAAAUAACCUCUCCAUCUGUCUUUAACCGCGUUCUCUGUAGCAAGAACAUUUCCAUCCUCAUCCUUGAUGCAUCUCACUUGGUUUAGGUCCCUUGUCUUCUUUUCCCUUGCUCUAGCUAGUUUAUAGAUAUCCAACUCUCCUUCUUUGGUAUCUAGUCGUUUAUACAUAUCGUCGUAAGCCGCUAACUUAGCUUCUCUGACCGCUUUCUUGGCCUCUUGCUUCGCUUUUCUAUACCUUUCACCAUUUUCAUCGGUCCUCUCCUUGUAUAAGGCUUUACAACAUUCCUUCUUAGCCUUCACCUUUGUUUGUACCUCCUCAUUCCACCACCAAGAUUCCUUUUGGUGUGGGGCAAAGCCCUUGGACUCUCCUAAUACCUCUUUUGCUACUUUUCGGAUACAACUAGCCAUGGAAUCCCACAUUUGGCUAGCUUCCCCCUCUCUAUCCCACACACAUUGGGUGAUUACCUUCUCUUUGAAAAUGGCUUGUUUUUCUUCUUUUAGAUUCCACCAUCUAGUCCUUGGGCACUUCCAAGUCUUGUUCUUUUUUGUCUCCUCUUUUGAUAUGUACAUCCAUCACCAAACAAGCGAUGUUGAUUAGCCACGCUCUCUCCUUGUAUAACUUUGCAAUCCUUACAAGUUAUACGAUCCCCUUUCCUCAUUAGAAGAAAAUCUAUUUGUGUUUUUGACGACCCACUCUUGUAGGUGAUCACAUGUUCUUCUCUCUUCUUAAAGAAGGUGUUGGCUAAGAAGAGAUCAUAUGCCAUUGCAAAAUCCAAGAUAGCUUCCCCAUCCUCGUUUCUCUCUCCAAAACCAUGGCCACCAUGAAAACCUCCAUAGUUGCCUGUCUCCCUGCCCACGUGUCCAUUUAGAUCUCCUCCUAUAAAUAACUUCUCCGUCUGAGCAAUUCCUUGCACCAAGUCUCUAAGGUCUUCCAAAAUUUCUCCUUCGUACUCGUAUCCAACCCUACUUGAGGUGCGUACGCACUAAUCACAUUGAUAAGUUCUUGUCCUAUUACAAUCUUGAUUGCCAUGAUUCUAUCUCCUACCCUCUUGAUAUCUACAACAUCUUGUGUCAAGGUCUUGUCCACGAUGAUGCCAACACCGUUUCUCGUUCUAUUUGUGCCCGAAUACCAAAGUUUAAACCCUGAGUUUUCUAGAUCCUUUGCCUUACUACCAACCUACUUAGUUUCUUGUAGGCACAUAAUAUUUAUCAUUCUCCUCACCAUAACUUCCACUACUUCCAUAGAUUUUCCCGUUAAGGUUCCUAUAUUCCACGUUUCUAAACGCAUUUUGCUCUCUUGAACUCUACCCUUUUGUCCUAACUUCUUCACCCUCCCCCGUCUAAUAGGAUCAAAGUACUUCUUUUGUGUGUCCCGUGUAAAGUUGAUAGGGGCAUAUGCUCCCAAACAAUUUUGACUGGAGUCGUUCGAAAAGAAGUUUCUACGGCCCCCUUGCUCAUUUAACACUGCAUCCGGGUGCCGAUGGAGAUACAGCGACCCUUGCUCACUUAUCACUGUGCUCAGGCCACACAGCGCGCCACUUACGGGUGACGCCCUAGCUUUAGCUCGAUUUUGUUCUGGAUUCAUUUUCAUAAGGAUUCGACGUGAUCAUGGAGUGCCGGCUGUCGACUACCUGACGCCCUCCCCCUCCUCCUUUAUCCGGGCUUGGGACCGGCAAUGUAAAAUUACAUAGGCGGAGUUAACAUAUCUCUAAUUACAAAAAAAAAAAAAAAAAAAAAAAAAAAAAAAAAAAAAAAAA